GAGUAAACUGUCAAGACUUAAAACUUACUUACUUUACCUACACCAUGGGACUUGUAACUGUCACUUCUGUCUUGAGUGGUUAAAAGAUAGAACAGUCUAGCCAAGUGCCAUGUCUCUUAUUCUUGAUCAGCUAUAGCUCUGGGAUUUUUGCAGAUUUUCAAAUAAAACUCAGAAUUCCUUGUAUGAUUCUCUCAGGUCUUUCUUUUGUGGUAUUUUUGAAUCCUUACCAAGGCAUUGAUGGUAUAUGCCUUCUCUCAAGAUAUGUGGUAUUUGGGGUAUAAGGCAUAGUGACAUUGCCUUCUCUCUCAUCCUACUCUAAUAAGGCUUUAAUAUCUGGAGCUCAUAGGUGGGAGAUAAAGUAUACAUACUUACAAGACAUGUAUUGCAUAGUGAAACCAUGGAUCCAAAGUAACAAGUCAAUAAGUUUAAUCAAGAUGUGCAUGUGUGGCGAAUGAAUGGUAUAUGGUGAUGAUGGUGAUAACAAUGGUGAAAACAAUGGUGGUGAAAGUCUAAUUCUACUUUACUCUUCUGAGGGGAUACAUACCUUCCUUGCUUUUGAAACUUUAUGAGGAGAAUGAGAUGCUCUUCUUUUUCGUUUCUCUCAGGUGGGUAUCUUGCACCCCUAAUUCUACUGUCGGACACUUGUCCAUUUUUACCUCUCAUCUCACUUUUUCUUUUCUUUCGAGGUUCCGAGCACUUGCUCCUUUUUAUUUCCUCGUAUUAUUUUCUUCUUCUUUUUUUUUUAGAGCACUCAUCUCUUGAGAUAAUAUAGCAAGUGGUAGUAACAAGAUAACUUGAGCAUUUAUUUCACAAGGGGAAAACAGAAAUAUUUUUGGUUAUUCUCUCCCGGAUUAGGAGUAGAAUAUUUUUAGGUGGUUCUGGAGAUGGAAAUGAGUGGAUGUAUGUGGAUGGUACUUCCGGAGUAGAAGUAGCAUAUAUGAGUGAACGUGCAAGUGAAAUCUUAAUUUAACCACAUGACAAGCUCCUAAGGGUCUACACAGCUUGACCAUACUCAAUGCUAAUAAGCAGUAAAUAGUAAAUGUGUGGCUCAAAGUCUAGCAAGCAUGUACAUAUGGCUGUGGUAGGAAUUUAAGCUCUCAUCAUACAGGAACUCAUCAUGCAACAUUUUAAAGAUUUUCAAAGAUAAAUUCUCCAGAAUUCUAGCAUCUCUAGGAACAGAUAAACAGCAGCUCAACCUUCCCAUAUCGUAUCCGUUAACAACUUAGACUUCAGAUCAAGUUUUCAUCCCACAAGUUUAGGUCUAGGGCAAGCUUUAAAUUAUAACAGUUAUGUCUAAACUUGAGAGAGAACUUAAAAUGUGCAAAUUAGGCAGAGCAACUAUUCAUCAUAUCCAUGCUUAAGUUUUAUUAGAUACAGAUUAGCAUAGCCACUUUAUUUAUUAAUUAAACACACUAAGUAAUAUAUAUAUAAGCAUAAAAUCUUUAUUUGGUUUUCCCGUAGUUUAUGUGUAUUAAUAUUCUAAAAUAAUAUAAAUAUAAAGAUAGAUAGAUAGAAAUACUUAUCGAGAUAAAUGGGGGUGCUCUCCCCCAAGCUGAAUUUUGACGUAAUUUCUCUUGAUGUAGCUAGCAGGUGGCAGAGGUGUAUUUGAAAGCAGCAUUCUGACAGCGAUUAGAAUGUCCUCCGUCUGCUAGUCUUCUUCAUUCUUAAAUUCUGUGGAGCUCAAAUAGACAACAAAGCUUGUGGAACUGAUUAAGUGUUAGCAUAAAUAUCUAGCCUUUGUAAUCUUGAGACUCCUUAAUAAUUAUUACUCCCUGUUUUUAUAUUUUUAUUUUAUAAAGCAGAAAAAUAUUUAUUUUAUUUUUAUGCCACCACAGUGAAUGUACGUAUGAGUUUUAUGCCACUCGUCUAUUCACAUGGGGCUUACUAUUUUUCACAUUUUUAUUUUCUUUUUAAGACAGUAUGAGCAUGUUUAACUAAGUAAACUAUUUAAAAUAACUGAAAGGGAAAGGGUAACUACCAAGUUUACCUCUUGGCAAGGCGUUCGGUGUUUUUAAGUCCUCCGAACGGGACUCUCCAAUUUCUUAAUCGUCCUGAGGUUCGUUGGGUGGCGUAGUCGGUACUUCCGGCAGCGCCUCCUCUUCUUGUAUAGUUAUCUUCAUUUUCCAUACCUGACUCGGUGCUUCAAUCUCCUCUGGAUAAUUCUGUUUAAACUCUACGUUUUCUGACCUUACAACUUCUCCUUCAUAGUCUGCCCAUCCGUCCUUCAUGAUCUGCCUCCUCUGGUUGCGGUUGCGUCUUUUUCUGACCUGCUUAGAUUCUUCAACGAUAUAGUUAGGGUCAGUAAAAUAACGGCGUACCUUCUCUGAGGGGAAGUGCAUAUGGACUUCUCCGGUUCCAAUAUAGAUAAUUGCUUUAACGGUGCUGAGGAACGGUCUUCCAAGGAUGAUGGGUGGAUCAUAUUCAUCUUCUCCCAUGUCAACAACUUGAAAGUCUGUGUAGACAAAGUGAUCGUCUAUUUUGACUGGGACAUUAGAUACUAUUCCUUUAACUUCUCGAAAUGUCUGAUCUGCCAUCUAGAGUUGAAUGUAUGUUGGUCUUAGUGGCAUGGUUCCGAACAAGAGCCGAUAGGUGACUGCGGCCAUUAUGUUGACGCCUGAUCCGGUGUCGCAAGUCGUCUUGUAGAAGUUGUAUCCAUUUAUGGAGCAGUAAAUGCUUGGCAUUCCUGGGUCAUCCUUCUUGGUCAAAAACGGUGACUUCAGUUGGUGAUCUUGGCCUCCAUGGACUACAGUGACCAUCUUAGCUGACUCGGUCCACACUUGCCUGUUCCUGUUCCUCCUGUUGGUCCUCUUCCUUGAUUCACGUCUGGAUUGAUUUGGAAUUUGUGUAGUCUUGUUCUUGAAGAAAAAUGUCUCCUUCUUCCCUUUGACGUAGAAACUGAUCUUGGCAGCACUGGCGUAGAUGAUAGCUCCCGUGGUGUUCAAGAAUGGCCUCCCUAAGAUGAUAGGUGCUCUCUCAUCAUUUCCGGUCUCUACCACUACGAAGUCUGCUGGGGCAUACAAGGUACCAACUCGGACACAAAGGUUCCUCACUAUUCCUUUUGGAAAAGUUAUCGUCUGAUCUGCAAACUGCAAACACAUGGUUGUCUCUAAUAAAGGAUAUGUAAAGAAUUUUUCAUAGAGUACCCUGGGUAUAAUGUUGACACUGGAGCCAAAGUCACAGAGUGCUUCUGGGACAUCCACCAUGCCGAUAGAGAUCGGGAUGACGGGGUGUCCUGGAUCGCCUCUCUUGACCGGCAGACGGUCAGUAGAAAAUUCAUUGACGGGGUUACUCCAAUUACCUGCAUCAAACACGUCUACAAGAUUUGCAGAUUCUAAUCCUUCCGGUUGUGAUGGUAUACCGGGGUUAGUAGUAGGAACAGCAGCAGCUAUCUGAUUUAACUGAGAUUCAAUCAUUUUAUUAAAGCUAAUUUGAUUCUUGAUGGCAGUAGAGAAAUUAUCCAUUCUAUUAUUUAUAUUUUCUAGCAUUUUAUCAUUAGAUGCCAAUUUCUUAGAUAGGUUAUCCAUUAGCUUACCUUGAUUAGACACUAACUCUCUCAAAGGUGGAAAAUUAUUAUUAUUGUUGUAAGAAUUGUUACCUUGAUAAUUACCUAAGUAGUUAGGCCUCUGUUGAUUCCAACCUUGAUUUUGUUGAGGACGGUUGUAGUAGUAGUAGUUGUUGUUGUUGAUGUAGUUCACAUCCUCAAGUAUCUCAGGGCAGUGGUUGCCUGAGUGUCGUGUGUCUCCACACUCCUCACAAGUCAUGUGAGAGUCGUAGAUGUGCAUAACUUCUUUCUUGUCUCCAGCUUUAUCAUCGAGCUUCUUCAUGAGCAGGUCUAGCUUUGCAGACAGCAUGUCUACCUCCUUCAGCUGAUGCAUACCUCCACCUCUCUUGCGUGUCUGGGUCCUCUCUUCAUUCCAGCUUUGAUUGGACGCCAUCUUCUCCACAAGAGCUGUGGCUUGUGAUAUAAUAAGUGAUAAGAAUGCUCCUCCAGCUGCAGCAUCCAUGGUCUCUCGGGCACUGUUGCUGAGCCCAUGAUAGAAUGUCUGCAUCAAUAGCCAACUCUCCAUUCCAUGAUGGGGACAUUCUAGGAUGUAGUCUUGAAAGCGCUCCCAUGCUUCUGGAACAGAUUCAUCAUUUUGUUGCUGAAAACUUGUAAUCUUCCCACGGAGAGCAUUGGUCUUGCCCAUGGGAAAGAACUUAGCCAGGAAGUUUGUUGAGCAGAGUACCCACGUAGUAUUCUUCUCCUUUGUAGCAUAGAACCACUGCUUCGCUCUUCCUAACAGUGAGAAUGGGAAGAGGCGAAGUAGUAGCGUCUUUGGAAACUCCUGCUAUGAUGAAUGUGUUGCAAAUCUCCAGAAAGUGUUGUAAAUGAGCACUAGCAUCUUCGUGUGCCUUCCCACAGAACUGGUUGGAUUGCACCAUGUUGAUAAGUCCAGGCUUGAGCUCAAAGUUGCCAUCGAUCUCUGCAGCAGGUCCAGUGCGGAUGUUGUCCGUAGUGGGAGCUGAGAACUCGCGGAUUGAUUUGUUCACCAUGACUUCGAACUCUGAAGACAAGUUCCGGUGAUCUUCUUGAUUGGAUGAAGCUUCUUGCUGAAGUGUUGAUGAUCUCUUCUUGGCUCUCGUCUUCUUGAAUAAUGCUUCCGGAUUGUCAACAAAAUUUCCUGAAAGAUGUCUUCUAUUCAUACAUUCCCCUGCAUAAGAUAAAAUAGAAAAAUAUCGGGGUAAAACUGUAUGAGAGAAUAGAUAAGCUCAAUCAUAUUAGUGAUGCGAAUGAUAACUCAAAAUCUUUUAUUCCAUUCCUGAUUGGUAAUCAACCUUCCCCAGCAACGGCGCCAAAAAUGCUUGUUGGGUAUUCUUAACAUCAUUACUAAAAGUAGACUAAGUUCUAAAUCUAGCAACGGUGCCAAAAAUGCCAAACCUAUACCUUACACCACUUAAGCCAAGUUGUCAUCCCCAGCAUGAUAUAAGAGACGUGGUAUUGAAAUAUGCAAUUGCUCUUCUAAAUAAAUAAUUAAUGGGAUCUGCAAGCGCACAGAUUAAUACCGAUGCAGCAUUUUAACCGGGAAGUAUUCCAGGUAUCGUUAUUUAUAUUUUUACCACUGGGAAGGGAUUAGCAAUCAUCACUAUUGAUUACAGAAUAGAAUAUGAGAUUGAGCAACUAUCAUUGCAUGUAUAAUUGAGAACAUUAUAUCUAACUCUUCAUACAGGGAUAAGUGUCACAUAAAAGAUAUAUGAAAUAAUAAUAGUGACAAGGAUAACUAAUCUGAUCUAGCCACAUAAUAAAUAUGAUAAGCACCUCAAUUAGAUACUCUAGAAAGUCAUUAGCAUGGUAUCAGAACGAACUACAAGAAUAUUCCCUAAGUUAUUCUUAACUAUAUAGUCUAGCAUAUCAUAGUUAGUGCAAGCAUACUUAGCAAUCAUUGCGAGACAAGACUACGCCCAUGCAUAGUGAUAUUAGCAAGGAAUAUGAGAAACAUAGCAAUCACUCCCCUGUAAUAAUGUUGCUCUGCCAGCCCAAUACACGAGAGGGGGACUAUAUAAGAAUCAAUGAAGCUGUCACUAUCACGAACUACCCCACGAUCUGGCAUAUUGGGUACAAUCGCAGAUAAAUACGGUAUAAGCACCAUGCCUACACAAUAUCUAUCAUUUACCCAUGGAUCCGAUGGAUAAACGCUAUACGAUCCUAAGCAUGUAUAUAGAUCGUAUCUAACUAAGCCAAGUACAUAACUAUGAUAAACUAAGAACAAUAUAAUCCUAAAUAUAAGCAAAUAGAGCAAAGUCAUAAGCAAUAUAUUGAAGUAGAACAAAGUCAUAUUCAUAAUAUUGAAGAACAAAGAUAAUUAGAAAGCAAUUAGGAGCACAAUUAGAAGAUUACCAAGAAUCCUCCUGACAGAUCCGGAAAACAAUCGAAGAUUGACUCCUUCUAGUUCUAAUCCUAUGUAGCUAUGCUAAUCUAGAUAUCUAAUUGAUGUGGUGGCUCUAAUCUUGAUCAGAGGCUUCUUCUCCCUUGAUGGAACAAUGAAUUAGGGUUUAGAGGCUCUCUCCUCCAGGGGCCAGGGGGUCUGGUUUUAUAGUCCCUUCAAGUGAAUAUGGGCCCUUGGAUCAAACCGACAUAGAUUGUAUGGUUUAGAUUCAUCCUUUAGGUCGGUGGAGACUUCCCGCAAAGCAGAGUCCUGAUUGGACUUGGACAGGGGGCGGGCGCCCAGUAGGACAGGGCGGGCGCCCUGCCUCUGGCCCCGAUUCGCCUCCGCUUCGGUCUCGUGGCUUCUGGAGUCUUCUAGAUGUAAGAUAAUUGCCCAGCACGUUAAUAUCUUUACGUAAUCCUGACAUGUGGGCCUUUCUUCCAUAUUUCCUGAUAACCCCCUGCAGAAAUAGACAAACACCAAAACUCGUGGAAUUCUGUCAGAUAAAACCCUAAGUCUAGAUCUUUAUUUUAUUUGGAUCCUUUUCUUUAUUUAUUUGAUAAUUAAAUUUGAUACUUAAGGACCGUCAACAUACGGUAGAAGGGCCGGCGAUGGUCGUCCAUAGACGACGUCGAACGGCAUGGUGCGCAACGCCGAGUGGUAGGAGGAGUUGUAGCAGUACUCCACCCACGGUAGCCACUCGAGCCACGAACGCGGGCGAUCGCCGGUGACACACCUCAGGUACAUGCCGAUCGUGCGGUUGACCACCUCCAAUUGGCCAUCGGUCUGGGGGUGGAACGCGGUGCUGAGCCGCUGCUUGACGCCGGUCAUCUUGAACAGGUCACGCCACAGGUGACUCGUGAACACAGGGUCACGGUCACUGACGAUGGAUUCCGGUAACCCAUGGAGCUUGACGAUGCCAUCGAAGAAAGCCUUGGCGACAGAUGCCGCCGUGUAGGGGUGGCUCAAAGGCAAAAAAAUGUGCAUAUUUGGAGAAUCGAUCAACCACUGUCAGGAUGACACUUUUACCAUUGACACGAGGAAGGCCCUCGAUGAAGUCCAUGCUAAUAUCUGCCCACACUUUGGUGGGAAAGUCGAGGGGUUGGAGCAGGCUAGCCGGAUGCAGGUGAUCAGUCUUGUUGCGUUGGCAGGUGUUGGAGGCGCCGACGAACUCGUGGACGAUGCGGCGGUCGUGGUCGAUGAAGAAGUCUUGCCGGAGUCGUUGGAGUGUUUUCUGGACGCCUUCGUGGCCCGCGUGUGUGAGCUGUACCGCGGCGUUCAGCAUUGUGGAGGACGCCGGGAUGUAGACACGCGCGCCGUGCAUGACGAGGCCGUUCGCGACGCGCCAGGGGGCACCGCGUUCCACCACGACGGUGUCCCUGAACUCGCGGAGGUGAGGGGCGGUGGCAAGCUCGUGGCGGAGGUCGUCGUAGAACUGGAACGUUGGUGUAGAGAUGGCGAGGAUGCUGUUGGCGUCGGUGUCGGUGUCGCGGCGCGACAGGGCGUCGGCCACGACGUUGAGGUGGCCGGGUCUGUACUCCACAGUGAAAUCAUAGGCAAACAAUUUGCUUACCCAUUGGUGCUGUGGCACCGUCGACAGGCGCUGAUCGAGCAUGAACUUGAGCACGUAGUGGUCAGUGCGGAUGCCAAACCGCCGCCCCCCAGAGAUAGGGGCGCCAGUGUCGAAUGGCCUGAACCAAGCCGAUGAGCUCCCGUUCAUACGCCGCUAGUUUGAGGUGUCUUGCGGCGAAGGGCCUGCUGAAGAACGCGAGAGCGCCAUCGCCCUGGUGGAGCACCGUGCCAAAGCCCGAUCCGGAGGCGUCGCAGUCCACCGUGAACGGGCUGUCGAAAUCCGGCAGCUGCAGGACUGGUGCGGUGGAGAGCGCGUGCUUGAGGGCGUCGAAGGCCGAUGUUGCCUCCGGUGUCCAUGCGAAGCUCUCCUUCUUGAGGAGGGCGGUGAGCGGCGCGACAAGCGUGCCGUAGUCCUAGAUGAACCGGCGGUAAUAACCCGCCAGUCCCAGGAAUCCGCGUAGGCCGCGCACUGAGCGGGGUUGAGGCCACGACGCAACGGCUGCGACCUUCUCGUUGUCCAUGGCCACUCUUUGGCCUGAGAUGACGUGGCCCAGGUAGUUCACCGUUGGCUGGGCGAACGAGCACUUGGAGAGCUUCAGCCGGAGGUGGUGUUCGCGCAGCGCGGUGAGGACGAUGUUGAUGUGCUGUAGAUGGGUUGACCACGACGGGCUGUAGAUGACGAUGUCGUCAAAAAACACCAGAAUGAACUUACGGAGGAACGGCCAGAGGACGGUGUUCAUGAGGCUCUGGAACGUCGCUGGCGCGUUCGUGAGGCCAAAUGGCAUCAAUAAAAACUUGAAGUGCCCUUCAUGCGUGCGGAAGGCUGUCUUCUCCACAUCUUCGGCGUGUACUCGGACAUGGUGGUAGCCCGAACGGAGAUCUAGCUUCGUGAAGAAGCAUGCGCCAUGGAGUUCGUCGAGUAGUUCCUCCAUGAUGGGGAUCGGGAACUUGUCCUUCACCGUCUGCUGGUUCAAGGCGCGGUAAUCCACAUAGAACUGCCACGUUCCUUCUUGCUUCUUGACGAGGAGUACGGGCGCAGAAAACGCUGAUGUGCUGGGCCUGAUGAUGCCUUGUUCGAGCAUGGCACGACACUGCGACUCCAAUUCAUCUUUUUGGAGUUGGGGGUACCGGUAUGGCCGGACCGCCACCGGCGCCGCCCCUGGCAGGAGGUGGAUCCUGUGAUCGCAGGGACGAGCCGGCGGCAGGCCGGUGGGCGUGGCGAAGACGUCGUCGAAGGAGUGGAGCAGCUUGUCGAGCAGGGUCGUCUCGUUGUGGUGGAUGGCGUGCAGCCGAGUCGACUGGACAUCGUAGCGAGUCGAGCCGAUGCCGUGCCAGAAGACGCGGCGCUGCUGGUGCCAGAAGGCCAUGCACAGGUCGUCGAAGUCCCAUGGGAUGGGGCCCAGCUUGCGGAGGAAGGAGACGCCGAGGACCAUGUCGUAGGUACCCAAGGGAAUGGUGUAGCAGUUGAUGUCGAAGAACUCGUCCGCGAUGCGGAUGGCGACGUCGCAUGCGUACCCGCGACACGCGACGCGGUCACCAUUGGCCACGAUGACGCCAGAGCUGGGGCAGUGGUUGAAUGCCAGCUUGGUGCGGCGCGCGACGUUGAGCCUGACGAAGUUGCUGGUGGAGCCGGAAUCCAAUAGCGCGAUGAAUUGUUCGUUGCCGAUGGAGACGUAGAGCUGCAUGGUCUCCUCGGUACGAAUGCCGGUGAUGGCAUGUAACGAGAUCAGCGGCUCGUCGAGGUCGAAGGCUGCCGGAGCUGGUGGCGGCCGGUUGUCGUCUUCCGGCUCCUCGACCGUGUAGUCUGUGACCUCAAGAUAAAAAACAUGGGGGCACUUGUGGCCCUUGACAUAAGGUUCAUCACAGUUAUAGCAAAGGCCGAGCUUACGACGCUCAGUCAUCUCCGCCGACGAGAGUCGCUUGAAUGGCCUGGGCGGAUCGACGCGGACGGAGUCGUCGUUGUGGAGGCUGGUGCGCGCAGAGUAGCAAGUUGUCGAUGUACCGGCCGGUGCGGGGCCGUCGGUGGCUGCGACGGGGCGUUGCGGAUCUCGAACGCGCGGGCGAGCCGGACCGCACGGUGAAGAUCUUGGGGUUCAUGGAGUUCGACGUCCACCCUAAUGUGAUCAGGGAGGCCACCGGUGAAGAGGCGCGCCUGCUGUACGACCUCCAGGUUCCCCGCGUGCGCCAUGCGCGCCUGGAAUGCCUCGGCGUAGGUGUCGACCGUGGACGUGAACGGAAGUCGCGCGAGUGCCGCCAGGUGAUUCGUUGUCAUCGGAGGGCCAAAACGCUGGUGGCACAGCUCCCCGAAGGUCGCCCAAUCCGGUCGGCCAGCAGUCCAUUCCAGGACCAGGUACCACUGUUGGGCGACUCCGGUGAGGUGGUACGAUGCAUACCAGACCUGAUCGGUCUGGUGCGUCAUCUGGGCAUGGAAGAACUGCUCACAGCGGUUCAACCACCCGAGCGGAUCCUCCUUGCCAUCGUAUGUGGGGAAAGUGAGUUUGUGGAAUUUGGGUGGCAUGUCAGGGGAGGGGGAUAUAUGCUGGAAUGGUGGUGGUGACGCCAUGGGCGCUGAUGGCAUGGGCAUGGGCAUUUGUUGUAUGGAGGCGAGUGAUGGUAUUGGUGAUGGUGAUUUCGGCCAGCAUAUCUGGUUCAGAGGGAGGCCAUAUGGCGGUGGUGUUGUGUUGGUCACGGCCGGAGUUGGGGCCGGGAGCGUUGCUAUGGUCGGAGUUGGAAGGGAAGAGAUGAUCUCGGAGGAUGCGGUGGUCACUCCCGUCGUGGAAUUGGCAGGCAGGGCCAGAGGGCUCCCAGCGCCCGGCAGGCCAAAUUGAGGACUCGCUGGUGGUGGGCGGUUCUGUUCUACGGCUGUAAGGCAUGAUGAGAUCUGACCCAUCUGCUGCUGCAGGCCAUAGAUUGCGGAUGUAAGGGUGGUGAGUUGAUCGGUGGGCACAGCCGUGUAGUGAAUUGGGGACUCGGCUGAUGGAGCGGUGGGCAUGAUGGAGACACCGAUGGACGGUGUGUCCCUCGAUGCUGGGAUGCUGGGAGAUGGCGUUGCGGUGGUGGGAGUGAUGGGGGGAAUUUCGGUGCCCGAGGUCGCCAUGGAAUCCGAUACCAGGUUGGUAUGGCGUAGGGAUCUCAAAUGGUAGUUAUGGGAGGGAGGAGGACGAGGCUUGGAAGAGCGGUGACGAACUGGCGGCGCCAUGGCUCGGCGCCGGGGUUCUGAGUGUUGGAGACAAGAGGAUGACAGUGAAUAGUAUGGCUGGGUGCCUAAGGGAGACAAUGUGUCUCAAUCCCAGGCUGAUCCUUUCCUUCAUCAACAUUCGAUACUUAUACAAAUUGUUUAAGCAAACUCACUCCUGAAACUAAAGACUGCCGUCCCUUCUAACAUGCAAUGGAAAUACUGAAACUAAGGACUGUCGUCCCCUUCUAACAUGCAAUGGGAAUAAUUCAAACGAGAAUGAACAAACUCCUGGAGACUAGUGAUGCAUGCAGAAUUCUUGCUGGUCCUAGCCAUUCCUGCAUUCACGGCGCUGGUAGACUUGCCCGGUCAUAACAUCCAUGGUGUUAAUCCAUUCAUCCGCUUCCAGUGGUUCCAUGGCCUCCUUAAAGACCGGUGGUUUGGUGUCCAUGAAAUCAUUGAAAGAGCUGUAUUGAUUCACUUCACGGCCGCCCUGGUUAUCCCCACGGUGGGUGUUGUCAGCGAUAUUGCGUAAGGCAACUUCCAUGUUUCGCUGCAUCUGUUCCAUGUUUUGUUGGCUCCCCAGAAACUACGCGAAAAACACAUCCGCAGUGUACGGAGGGGGCGGUGGUGGUGGCGGUGAUGGUGCUCUUUCCUCAUUCCUGCGAGCCCCACCUCCGGAGGAACCUUCUCCAACACCGGGGUUGCUGUUACCCCCGCUAUGCGUUUGCACCAUCUGCAUGCGUCAAUGAUAAGCAGUCGUUAGGAGUUGUGAUCAACUAGUAGAUAUAUGCAAAAUCAUGCCACACUGAAUUUACUGAUGAAAAUAAAUCCACAACAGAGGCACAAUAAUUCACCAUCCACACACAACAUCGCUAACUGAUUACUUAACAUUAAACCAACAGGGUUCGCAUACAUCCUGAAUUGCCAGCAUACAUACACUGGACUUUUAGCGUCAACACAACUUCAACACAUAAAUUCUAACACACCCAAGAUCCAACAGAUUACAACACAUGUUAUGCAACAACCGCAGCAAAAGAAGAAGGACUAGCUCUAGAGCUCUAGCAUCUACUCGAUAUGGUCGCUGUCCAUGCUGGAACCUUCCUCGUCCUCAUCUCCACUAGCGGCUGCCUCCAUCUCUAGGUCCUCAUCCAUCUCAUCCUCAGAGUCUAACUCGGCUGCUCUAGGUAGGUUGUCAGGGUGGAGCUGGUUAUGCAGCUGAUGGAUCUCCUCAUGCAGGUUCUCAUUGUACUCCUCAGCAUUAGCUAAAUGCUGAUCAAGCUCCAGCUGUUGGCCCUUAGGGUGUCCUCUUCGUGCCAGGCUUCAUUUUGCUGACCAAGCUCAUGAACUAGCAUGCGCUCGCAGUUCCUAUGAGCUGUGGUCACCCUGUCCCUCUGCUCUCUCACUGCUAGCAGAUCCUAACUCAGCACACUGUUCUGCUGGACCGCCUAGUCCCUCUCUAGAGUCAUACGAGCCAACUCUGCCUGUAGCCUCUCAACCUCACUAUCAAACUCAAGAUGUAGCUGGCACUUCUCAUCCUGAACUGUCAGAAGAGAACCCGACAAACGCCCCAAGCAGCGCCCUAGACCCUCAUAGGUCUUCAUCAUGGCCAAGAUAGCACUCAUAGCUGUACUAUCACUGUGCUGAUCCUCAUCCACACUCCUCUCUAGAGCAUUCACCUCGGACUGAUCCCACACCGAAGUGUAGGGGUCACCCUAGGGAAACACCCCAGCGAAGUCGUGGGCCAGCUCCUGCGGAAACCUCUCCAUGAUGUCCCUCAGAACCGCAAAAGUAGCCUUGCUAGCACCCUGGAAAGGCGUGGUACCUCGGGACUCGUACACUCAGCUGCCUCAGGCGGCGUCACCGCCACUGGUAGGAAUCACUGCCUCUAUCCCCACCAGGGUCCCAUCACCGAGCUGCUCUUUGUUCCAAUAGUAGCGAGGUUCCCUUCCUUCAGGAUACCCCAUAGAGCGAAGCACUCUCCAUACCCGAAGGAGUAUACAAGUUUUUAAUAUAGGUUGGUUGUCCAGUAUUUUAGUUUGCUCUAUCUAUGCUAAUGAAGAGAUAGUAUUAAUAUUGUUUUAGCAUAGAUCAUAUUUUAUACAGGCGUGGAUUGAGGUAAAGUAACUUGUAGUAGAAGAUAAAGUGAAUGAAUCAUUAAUACUCACAGUACUUUUAUUCAAGAUGAAUGAGUUCUACAAAGUUAUUAAAGUUCAGCAUGUCCUUGUCUCAUCUCUAAUUCAAAUUUAUCUCAUGACUCACCCAAAUUAAUUUGAAAAUUUCUUGCAAGGUUUAGUCGACAAAAUAUCCAAUGUCUACCACAAUAUAUUAUCAAUUAAAAAAUCAACCUAGACACCACGUCUAAUUUGAUUUAGGAAGGAAUUUUAACCUAAGCACUGUAACACCCCAGUGUUAUGGUUGCAUCAAUCACAUGCAUAACAUGAGCAUCAUCAUCUACUCAAGCAUAUCAUGAUCAUCAUCUACCUUGAGCCAUGUCAUUUUAUGCUUAAGUGUGCUUUAACUUGUUUAAUCAUGCUUCCUAUGCUUGUGUUUGUGUGAACCAUGCCCAUGCUUGUGUGUUAAGUCUUGGUAAUUAGUUUAUCUAUGCUUAACUCAACCAUAGGAACAAUGUUCAUGUUGAUCACUUCUCCAAAAUAAUCACUUAAAUCUCUUUUGCUUAGGCUUUUAAAAAGUGUUUCAUAAAAUGUUUGCAUGUCAAAACUUUCUACAGCAAAGUUGUAGAAAUUUUAUAAGGAACAAAAGUUGUUUUAUGACCAUCUCAUGACAAUGAUCACAUCUUGCUCGAAAAGUGCUUUCAAGGCAGUUUUGGGGGCUGUUUUGGCACUUGACCAAAUUUGGCUAAGUCUUGGCGCCACCAGUUUGCGCGAUCGAUUUUGAAAACCUCAUAUCUAUCAAUCCAGGCCGAUCUGGAUUUUGCUCUAGUUGACAAUGUUGUAGAACUCAGCUAGUACUCCACCUUUGUCAACUACGCCAUCUCCUAAUUCGUUUUGAUUUGUGAGUUAAUCGCUGUCGAAGUCGCUUUGUCAGACAACCAUCGCCAUGACUGAAUCGAAGCCGAGCUCGUCGACGUGGCCGACCGGAGACAGAACAACGGUGACAUUUGGCGCCCGUACGUCAUUCCUGGCCCCGCUCGUCAGCUCCCAACGUGCGCAUGACCUCCACGGUGACGCCCCGGACGCAGUGGACGUGUCCACUCUCUCCUCCCUCUCGCUCUCUCGCCAAAAAAGCGGCCGCAGCGAGCUCACCGUCGCGAGCUCACUCCGGCGAGCUCAAACGCGCUCCUCGCUGCAUUUCUGCUCACCAAAACUCGCCCACAGCUCCACCGUAACCCGCUCUCCAUCCUCCACCCGCAAACUCGCCGUGAAACCCUUCGGUGAGCCAACAUUUCCGACUUCUCCCAAAUCGGGUCGCCGUGACUUUCUUCUCCGGCGAAAUCAAUGCUGAGCUUCUCGGAGCCUCUCGUCUUCUUUGGUUAGGUCUUAAAGGUAGCUUUGGUCAUUAGCGAACGUUUGUGCCACUUGGUGGAUGCUCUAUCGCACUCACCGUCGCCGGACACGACGCGCAGCGCCGCCGUGUUUCCGCCGGAGUUCGGCUCUCUCGUGGCCAGCUCAUUCCACACCGUUUCAAGCCUAGUCACCUACCUAGGAAGCUUCGCCGUAGUUCACUGUUGCUGUAGGAAACCCUAGGUCGCGCUCUACCAGCCUGAGAGCUCCGGCGUAACGCCGAGCGCCUCCGCCGAGCCGCCAUGGUCGACGGCAAGCCAUUUCCGGUGGCUCCACCGUGGGGAAAAGGGGGUCACUCGGUUCGCAAGGGUCUGGGGAUCACGUUGGUACCCUUUGUUUGGCCGAAGACCUCACCGUCGCGGAGAAAUCGCCGGUGAAAGUCAUCUCGGUCGUGAGGAAGACGACCCUGACACGAGGGACCCGCUGUCAGUGACACACCGUUUCCCUCCUUUUCUUUUAUUCAAAUCCAGAUUUUUGGUAUUCUUGCAAAAAUCAUAUCUUCUGUUGCUUUGACCCAAAAAUUGUGAAAUAAAUUUUGUGAUGUUCCUUGAGAUGGCUAGUAUUUAAUAAAAAUAUAAAAUGUACCAUGUUUUCUGGGAAAAAUAAUUGUUAUGAUUUAAUCUUGUUAUUUAUGAGUAAAUUCAUAUCUUUUGUUAUACUGCUCCUUUUGCUUUGAAUUUUUUAUGGUAGUUUCUGAGUGUUAUUAGAAUGCUAUGAUAACUAUUUCAUGAUUUUUGGAGUACUGUAUCUGUGAUAUGUAUUUUAUGUUUGUGAUGUGGCAUGUUUUCUUAUUUAAAUCAUAAUAAAAGUUUGGUGCUUAUGCUGGUGCUCUACUCUGGUGUCAAACUUAAUUAUGGUAAUAGUAACAUGUAAAUAAUUUGAAAUCGGUUGUUUGACACUAUCUAAGCUAUGUUUUCUAAUUUACGAAAUAAGCAACUUGUCACAUGUUAAAUGCUUAUCUUGAAUCUGGCAUGUGCAAUUGCUCUGAAAAUUUUAUAGUGAUGUCAAGAUGCUAUGCUUGUGCUUGUGUAAUUUUUGUAGGUUUUUCUGAGCCCUUUUGCUAGUAUCUUGUAAUUAUGUCCCUUUAUUGAAUUAAAUUAUUAAGGGCCAUGAUAUUAAAUGUUUAGGGGAUUAACAUAUGAUGUUUUGGUUAUUUUAUGAUAUGCUUGUGCUUAUAAUCCAUAUGGUCGGCACUGAUUAUGUUUUGGUUAUGUCAUUAAAUAAUUAAUUAAAGGGGUUAAAAGCUGUUCUGGACAGCAAGGGAGUAAUCCAACCUUUGCUUAAUGAUAAUUUGGUUUUCUAGGAGACUUGUCUAAAUCAGAGUUGUUAUAGACUUUAUGAACUAGCUGUGGUUUAAUUUUGGGAUCAUUUGGACCAAUAGUUUCAAAGUUAUAGCUCUUCCAAGUUGGGUUCCAGAAAUAGGUGUUCUCUGUUUUUCUGGGACAGAACCUGGAACUUUGUUUAAAUGACUUGUUUAACUUAUGAAUCUUGCUAUGAUGUCUAAAGAUGAAAUGUAGACAAUUUCAUAAGCUCUCCAUAAUGUCCACAUUCAUAUUUGUUGGAUCUGUAUAGCUCCAGUUAUGAUUUAUUUCUUGAGCUGCUCUGUUAUGUAAGGAUUGCUGUUUAUGGUUUGACUUGCUAGGUCUUGCUAAGUUAAUUAGUUAUCCUUUGUGAGUUUAUCUUGGAAAUUUACUCAGUAAAUGAGUGUCCAGUGAAGUUCUAAUUAUAUUGUCAAGCAUUUAUCCCCAUCUAGUAUGCACCCAUUCUUACCUAUCAUGCAUGCAAUAGGUGCACCGGACGCGACAGCUUCAUUCGAGCUCCAGGUGAACCCCGAGGGUCAAGAGAUCAACCCGGAGGUGGAGGUCCAGCAAGCCAGACAUGAGGAGCCCGAGCAGGAGAUUGGUUGCCUGAAUCACGAGCCUGCAUCGUUCGUGAAAGGCAAGCCCCGGAGCAUCUUAAGUCUCCCCUUUAUUUUCGAAAGAUUACUUGAUUAUGUUAUAUCUAUUGACGCAUUACGUAUAGGAGUUGUGAUGAAACCCUUGCUGCAUUUUACUCAUUCCUUGUCCAGAUAUCUUACCACUACCUAGUUAUAGAGUUAGGAUCGAGUAGCGGCUUAGUCAUGCUUUAAUCGGUAGAAGUCGGGUGAUAUCCUGUCACCUGCACGAGAUAGGGUUGUGUUGGAUCCCGAUUGUCUAUAUGUGCUAUCGUAGAAUGAACCUGUUUAAAAUGACUUAAGCCGGGCGGAGUUUUGCAAGGUUGUAGUAACUCCGUCUGUGGCAGCUAAGGACCGAUCGUUGUACGUCCUCUUGUCAUGUUGAACGCAUGCCAAACACUUAGUUGGCUGGAUAACUCGUUCCGACCGUGAAGCCUAGUAGUAUGACUCAGGCCGGAAGACCGGCAAGUAUAAAGUGCGCACUACCGGAGGAAGUGCGGUGUGUGGGGGACUAUUGGCGUAAGACCACAGGCACGUGAGUUAAAAUUCCUGACCUCCCUGGCAGAGUGGUAGCCCUGGGAGUGCAGCGCUGAUUGGAGCCGCGAUUCCUGAGUCGUACCAAAGGUGACCCGCUUGCUCUCCAACGGGGGAUGUUUGGGUGAGUGCUAGGAAUAACCCUCCAGCUGGAUAGGUAUCGAUUCGAAUCGUCGUCUCUCCCGGAUAGUGAGAACUUGACAAAGCAACGGGAAACGUAGCAUCCACUAAUGAACAAUGGUUCGUGAUGAUGGGGAUAGCAAGGAAGAGCAUAUGAUGAACUUGAUAUGGUUAUUAUUGCUUGUAAUAAUUAAGUGAUGUGCUGUAGUCCAGGUGCUAAUCUAGUGGUAGGCUAAUGAUGAUUAAUAUGAUGCUUUUACAAUAAUGUAGCUAUCUAUUAAGCUUUUGGCAACUGUUGAGUCAAGCCCACUCCACUUUAGACUUAGCCUUGCAUGAUCCUUGGUGUCUUUUAUAUUUUACUGGACGUGUAAGUCUAGCUAAGUACAUCCUCGUACUCAGGGUUUACUCCCACCUGUUGCAGAUGAUAUCUUUUAUGAUGGCAUCUGCAAGACCUGUCUCCAUCCCGCUGGGGAUGAAGACUAAACCUUUGGGCACGGUUCUCUAACUACUUCGUAUUUGUUGCUUUUGAUGGAUGGCAUGAGAUUCUGGGUGAAACAAGAACUUGUGAAAUGAACUUUGGAAUGUGAGUUGUAAACUAUUUUGCUUCCGCUACUACAAACAUGUGUUGUAAUAACUAAGUAACUCCGAUGUGGUGCCGCUUCGACGGCAAUGAAUGACUAUGUAAUAUUCGCUAUGUUAUGUUGAACUAUUACGAUCUUGGUUUGUUGUAAGUUGGUUUGAAGUCCUUCGUGAUUUCAGUUGACUACCAGGAUUAUAUGGGCUCAAGUUUGGAAACUUGAUUACUAGUUGAUCGUUUCUACACUUGAACUCUUAUAAUUUGGUCGGUUCUAGGACAGCUGGCAUCAGAGCAAGUUCAGCAUUAUAAAUGCAGCGUUUGUGUAUUUAAAAACAAAAGAGUUUUUAAAUAAAAUUGUUGAAAAUCAACACUUAAUUAUGCGAGUGGUCGAAUCCUCCUUGCCCAUGUAAGGACUAUAGGUGGCUAUUUAAGUACUGACUUGGGGUGUUUUAUUAAUGCAUCUCCGACAGUACUCAGGUAUGGAUGUGUGAUGACCGCACUAUGCUACCCUGUGGUCUAAUGGUAGACGUAGCCUUCAUAUGUGAAUUAGCCACAUAUGUCGCUAGAUUUAAAUUAUGUCGCACCUACGCUCUGUUAAGUGUGAGUUGUGAGAGCAUAAUCAUGCAAACGAUGGUCUAGGGGAGUGUUCGCGGUGGUUUUCUGGAGUGGUUACAUGUCUAACCAUAGAACCAUGAAAGAAACUUAAUUGGGGAGCAUUUAAUUUCUCGGGUAGCUGUGGUGUCAUGGUUUGUGCGUGUUGGGCAUGUACUAGCGAUGUGCACUUAGUUUACUGCUUUCUUUAGUGAUAUUUUGGGAAUUGUUUGGCUGCAAUGAAGUUUUCUGCAGGUACUCUAACAGCGCACGUAUAAAUCGCUAGUUAUUGUAUCGAGAGACGAAUGUAUGCCACCAUAUAUCAGUUAGAAUAUUAAUUUUCUAAGUUUGUGAGGACGUACAGUUCGUGCAUGCAUCAUGUCGCAUUCAUACAUACAUUCUGUCUACCCCUUCCCUUACAAUGUCAUCCCUUUUAAUUAAAUAAAUGUUGCUUAAACUAAUCCUCUUUUAUCCACGGUUAUUCCUUUCCACAGAUGGACGUGCCCGCUUCACCUCGCCCCAGUGACACCUUUUUGAGCGAGUUUGGCACCCCUACUUUGCUCUGGAGGGUGUUGUAGUCUGUGCGAUAUACUGAGCCACCUCAGUACUCAUGGUGGGAGGUGGAUAUGAUAGGAGAGUUGCAGUGGUUUGCUGUGCAGGGAGUUGUCCCACCACAUGGGGGCAGGCCUGCAUGGACGGGGUGGACCUGUAACUCAGAUGGGCAGACUCCGUGGGAAGUAGCUCAGGUUGCCGCCCAUGCUAUGCUACUCAACAUCUGUCAGAGGUUUGGCGAUGAGCUGACAGGAGGGCCAGCGGCCUCCAUUCCCCGUGCUGAUCCAGCAGCAGCGGAGUGGAAGCAGGCUGAUGGUUGUGCGUUGGACCGAGGUAGAGGAGAGCGAGCUGAGAGUUCCAGUCCUGCUAUGAGUGCUGUGAUGGGUGUGCUCAAGCUGUUCAGUCAGCGAGAGGACACCUAUGCCCAGGUAAUGGUUGCUGUCUGCCAGGCUCAGGAGAUGCAACAGAAGGCUGAGAAGCGUGCUUGCAAGUUUCGCAAGCAAGCUAGGCUCCUGGAGCAAGCUCAGAAGGACCGCAACGACUGGGAAGACAUUGCGGAAUAUCGUAGGCAGCAGUGGGUGAAGGCCAUUAGAGAGAGAUCACAAGCAGGAUCAGAUGAGUCAGUUGGCUAGGGAGAGGGAGACAGUGCAGGAGCGCUUGGUGCAGAUCACUCGUGAGAGGGAUACUGUGCUCCGUGUGUCGGAGAACAGGCGCCGGGCAUGGGAGAUGCACCGGAUUCAGUCACUUGAGCGGGAGAACUAUCUGCAGGAUCAGAUUGAGGCUGGUCUUGUGGAGAUUCACCGUCUCAACAACUUGCUAUACCCUAUUCCUCACCCUGUACCCGUGUACCCGGAGGUGGGACCUCAGGUGAUCGUGGCUGAUGAUGAUGGUAUGGAGGUAGAUGGACCAGCCACGGCUGCACCACCUCUGCACGAGGAUGUGGAGUACGAGGAGCUUGAGCCGGUUAGCGAUGAGGAUGGAGAGGCGAUCUUCGACGCUGACUCGGACGACGAGCCUAGAGUGUAGUAGGUAGUUGAUAGCUGUUCUGUGAGGAUCUUUUGUAGUAUGGCAGUCCACAGUUGCGCUUUUGUAAUCAUGUUGUAAUCCGGAACCUUGAUCUUUGACUUAUGUCAUGUACUGGGAUGGUGUAAUAACUUUAUGGACCGAUUGUGUUAACAUUAUCAUGUUCGAUCGGUUAUGACGAUGGUUCCCGUGUUAUGCAUUUUACGAAUGUCUGUGUCAUGAGUUGGAUUGGUGAUGUUGUUUUGUGGAAUUGAAUUAUUGUGCCUUUUUCUAUAAAGUUAUUCUCUCGAAUACUUUCAGGCAUGAAAAUAAGUUCUUCUACGGCAAAUCUUGUCAUCAUCAAUGGUCACUAACUGUGUCUUUACAGAUGUCUCGUGGCACUAGAGGUGUGGAACAGCGUGCGAACAUGAACCCACCCCCUCCUCCUCCACCACUAAAUCCAGCUGAGCUGAUGCAAAUCAUGGUGGAAAAUCAGAGAAUGCUUACUGAAACCAUCAACCGGAUGGCAAACCAGGGUGGUCGGAAUGCACCGGAUGGGCCAGCACCCAACCAGUACAGUAGCUUCAAGGAUUUCAUGGAUACGAAGGCCCCACCUUUCGGAGAGGCUGAAGAACCCCUUCAACCUAAGUGGCUGAACACGGUGGAACAAAAGUUCCGCUUGCUUUGGCUGACCGAGGGUUUGAAGGUUGAGUAUGUAGCUCACCAACUGCAAGUACCAGCAGGCAUUUGGUGGAAUCAAUAUCGGGAGGCUCUUCCGGACAACACUGUGCUUGACUGGAAUCCCUUCCGUGAAGCUUUCAAGGAGCUUUUCAUCCCUCCUGGUGUCAUGGAGAUGAAGCAUACUGAGUUCAUGCAGUUAACUUAGGGAAACAAAACUCUGAAGGAGUAUUAGCAUGCUUUCAAUCAUCUGUCUAGGUAUGCUCCUGAGUUUGUGAACACUGAGGCAAAGAAGAUUGCUAGCUUCAAGCGGGGUCUUGGCCCCAAGUUGCUGAAAACUAUGGGCCGCACUAAGUGUACAACUUUCAAUGAGUUUGUCAGUGAUGGUCUCACCCAAGAGAACUAUAGCACUGUGUACACUGCAACCAAGACUCGUAAGAGGGCUUUUGAGGCCAGGGCAGGGGCAUCUCAGUCCAAGGCUCCAGUGGUAGCUAGGCCCCAGUAUCGUGCUCCAACUCCUAACCAGCGAUAUCGCCCUCCAGCGAAGAAAAAUCAGGUGAAGACGGGGUUCCGCAAGGGUUACUCUAUUGCUCUUCCUAGGGGCAACACGGGUCCUAGCUAUGCCAAGACUCCACCUGCCAACCGUCCGUGCUGGAACUGCAAUCAGACCGGGCACUGGCAAAGCAACUGUCCUUACCCGCCAAAGAAGGGAAACCAAGGGAACGUCCGCCAGGGGCGUGUUCACUAUACAACUGUGGAAGCAAUCCCUGCUGGUGAGGUAGUUACGGCUGGUAAGUUUCUGGUCAAUUAAUGUGAUGCACUUGUACUUUUUGAUUCUGGAGCAUCGCAUUCUUUUGUGAGUUCAGACUUUGUGUCUAAGCAUAAUCUCAAGGCAAUUACAUUUGAUAAGGGUAGUUAUUGCAUUAGUGCUGCCGGAAAUGAUAUUUCUACCAAUCAAGUGGUUUUGGGGGCAACUCUGGAAAUAGGAGACCGUCAGUUUCUUGUUGAUUUGGUUGUUCUACCUGGUGUGGGUAUAGAUGUAAUUCUGGGUAUGAAGUGGAUGAGUGGCAACGGAGUUCUUAUCGACACCACCACUCGUGUAGUGAUGUUGAGAGACCCAAAUACCAAAGAGGCGUUCUUAGUGCAACUUCCUCGAGAUAUUCAUAUCCGUAGCACGAUGAAUGCAGUUACAUCUAGGGCCAUCAAGGAUAUUCCGGUGGUGUGUAAGUUCCGAGAUGUAUUCCCAGAUGAUUUGCCCGGGCUUCCUCCAGAUCGGGAUGUGGAGUUCAAAAUUGAAUUGAUCCCAGGUACCGCUCCUAUCUCUAGAAGACCACAUAGACUACCACCAAACGAGCUAGCUGAGCUUAAGACCCAGUUGAAUGAGUUGUUAAAGAAGGGUCUUAUCCUUCCUAGUUCUUCUCCUUGGGGUUGUCCGGCUAUCUUUGUGAAGAAGAAGGAUCAGUCCUUGCGCAUGUGUGUGGACUAUCGUCCUCUGAAUGCGGUGACCAUCAAGAAUAAAUACCCUCUUCCUCACAUUGAUAUCCUAUUUGACCAGUUGUCUAAAGCCAAGGUAUUCUCCAAGAUUGAUUUGCGAUCUGGGUAUCAUCAGAUCAAGAUCCGUCCUGAAGAUGUACCUAAGACAGCUUUCUCGAUGAGGUAUGGGUUGUAUGAGUAUCUCGUCAUGUCUUUUGGUCUAACGAAUGCACCUGCUCACUUCAUGUAUCUCAUGAAUCCGGUAUUCAUGCCCGAAUUAGUCAAGUUUGUGGUGGUCUUCAUUGAUGAUAUCGUGGUUUAUUCUCACAAUGAAGAAGAGCAUACAGAGCAUCUGCGUGUAGUGUUGUCGCACUUGCGUGAGCAUCAGCUUUAUGCUAAGUUCAGCAAACGCGAGUUUUGGCUGAAGAAAGUACCUUUCUUGGGCAAUGUAUUAUCUAAAGAAGGUAUCUCGGUGGAUCCACCUAAAGUGCAAGAAGUGCUGGAUUGGAAGGUUCCAACUUCGGUGCACGAGGUCCGGAGUUUUCUCGGUCUGGCUGGGUAUUAUCGUCGAUUCAUUCCGGAAUUCUCAAAAAUAUCCAAGCCUAUGACUCGCCUACUUCAGAAAGAUGAAAAGUUUAUGUGGACGCCUGAGUGUGAAGAGGCAUUGCACAAGCUGAGGACAUUGCUAACAUCAGCUCCUGUCCUAGCUCAGCCUGAUAUUGAGAAGCCCUUCGAUGUCUUUUGUGACGCGUCGAGUAUUGGUUUGGGUUGUGUGUUGAUGCAAGAAGGUCGUGUUAUCGCGUAUGCCUCGCACCAACUUCGAAAGCAUGAGGUCAAUUACCCUACUCAUGACUUAGAAUUGGCUGCAGUUGUUCAUGCCUUGAAAAUUUGGAGGCACUAUUUGCUGGGUAAUCUAUGCAAUAUUUACACUGAUCAUAAGAGUCUCAAGUACAUCUUCACUCAACCUGAAUUGAACAUGCAGCAGCGAAGGUGGCUUGAGUUGAUUAAAGAUUAUAAUCUCCAAGUGCACUACCACCCGGGCAAGGCAAAUGUAGUUGGAGAUGCCUUAAGUCAGAAGGCGCACUGUCAUUCAGUUCAGAUGGAAGAUCCAUUGUUGUCACAUCUUAUGCACCCACUUGUGCUCAACUAGAUUUCUCUGGAGAGUUCUCUUCGCAAUCGAGUCAUCGAAUUGCAGCAAACCGAUGUAGGCAUCUACCAUAUAAAGAGGAAAAUGAAAGAAGAAGAAACCAAUCAUUUCCGGGUCAAUGAGAACGGAAUCCUAUGGUUCAAAGAUCGACUCGUGGUCCCAAAAGACCGUGAGAUGUGAAAUCAAAUCUUAUCUGAAGCUCAUUCAUCCAAGUUGUCUAUCCAUCCUGGUAGUAGCAAGAUGUAUCAGGAUCUGAAACCUCUGUUUUGGUGGACAAAGAUGAAAAAGGAGAUUGCUGCUUUUGUCACUCGUUGUGACAACUAUUGUCGUGUGAAGGUCGUUCACAUGAAAGCAGGCUUACUUCAACACUUGUCAAUUCCUGGUUGGAAAUGGGAAGAAGUCAGCAUGGAUUUCAUCGUUGGACUCCCAACUUCUGUUAUGGGUUACGAUUCUAUCUGGGUGAUUGUAGACCGUUUGACCAAGGUUGCUCGUUUUAUUCCAGUUCGAACUGACUAUCGUCCACAUCAGUAUGCAGAAUUGUACUUCGAGCACAUUGUUCAUCAGUAUGGUGUGCCUCGAACUAUCAUAUCAGAUCGUGGACCACAGUUCACUGCUCAUUUUUGGGAGUGUCUUCAUGAGCAGAUUGGUAUUCACUUGGUUCGUAGUUCCGCUUAUCACCCCCAAACGGCCGGCCAAACUGAAUGUGUUAACCGAAUCCUAGAAGACAUGUUGACGGCAUGUGCUCUCUCUUCAAAGGGUUUUUGGGUAAAGUGGUUGCCGUUAGCUGAGUUCUCUUACAACAACAGUUACCAAGAGAGCAUCAAGAUGGCUCCAUUUGAAGCCCUGUACGGUCGAAAAUGUCAAACCCCGUUGAAUUGGAAGGAAUCCGGGGAACGAAGGUAUUAUGGCAUCGAUUUCGUGAACGAAGCGGAGCAGCAAGUCUGUACCAUCCAACAACAUCUGGAAGCUGCCCAAGCUCGUCAGAAAAGUUAUCCUGAUAAGAGAAGGAAGCCGAUUGAGUUUGCAGUCGGUGACCAUGUGUAUAUCAAGGUGUCUCCGAUGAAAGGCGUACAAAGGUUCGGAGUCAAGCGAAAACUUGCACCUUGUUAUGUGGGGCCUUAUCGGAUUCUCGAGAGAAAAGGGAACGUGGCAUACAAAGUUCAACUCCCAGUUGACCUUCGUGCUAUUUUUCCUGUCUUUCAUGUAUCACAAUUGAAGAAGUGCCUUCGUGUUCUAGAAGAACGAGUGGAAGUUCGGGAUAUUAAGUUGAAAUCUAACUUGGUGUACGAGGAGAAACCUGUAGCGGUUCUCGACCACAAGGAACGGGUGACUCGUAAUCGUGUGGUUAAGUUCUACAAGGUGUUGUGGAGUAACCACAGGGAGGAAGAUGCCACUUGGGAGACGGAGGACUAUUUAAAAGAAGUUUAUAAAACAUUCUUCGAAAAUCAGUAAGCUUCCAAAUCUCGGGACGAGAUUUUUCUAAGGGGGGAGGGCUGUAACACCCUAGUGUUAUGGUUGCAUCAAUCACAUGCAUAACAUGAGCAUCAUCAUCUACUCAAGCAUAUCAUGAUCAUCAUCUACCUUGAGCCAUGUCAUUUUAUCCUUAAGUGUGCUUUAACUUGUUUAAUCAUGCUUCCUAUGCUUGUGUUUGUGUGAACCAUGCUCAUGCUUGUAUGUUAAGCCUUGGUAAUUAGUUUAUCUGUGCUUAACUCAACCUUAGGAACAAUGUUCAUGUUGAUCACUUCUCCAAAAUAAUCACUUAAGUCAUACUUCCUUGAAUAAGCCCUAGAAACCUCUUUUGCUUAGGAUUUUAAAAAGUGUUUCAUAAAAUGUUUGCAUGUCAAAACUAUCUACAGAAAAGUUGUAGAAAAUGUUAUAAGGAACAAAAGUUGUUUUAUGGCCAUCGCAUGAAAAUGAACACAUCUUGCUCAAAAAGUGCUUUCAAGGCAGUUUUGGGGUCUGCUUUGGCACUUAACCAGUUUGCGCGAUCGAUUUUGAAAACCUCAUAUCUUUCAAUCCAGGCCGAUCUGGGUUUUGCUCUAGUUGACAAUGUUGUAGAACUCAGCUAGUACUCCAACUUUGUCAACUACGCCAUCUCUUAAUUUGUUUUGGUUUGUGAGUUAAUCGCUGUUGAAUUCGCUCUAUCAGACAACCAUCGCCAUGACUGAAUCGAAGCCGAGCUCGUCGACGUGGCCGACCGGCGACAGAACAACGACGACAUUUGGCGCCCGUACGUCAUUCUUGGCCCCGCUCGUCAGCUCCCAGCGCGCGCAUGACCUCCACGGCGAUGCCCCGGACGCAGUGGACGCGUCCAUUCUCUCCUCCCUCACGCUCUCUCGCUAGAAAAGCGACCGCAGCGAGCGCAACGUCGCGUGCUCACUCCGGCGACCUCAAACACACUCCUCGCUGCGUUGCUGCUCACAAAAACUCACCCACAGCUCCGCCGUAUCCCGCUCUCCAUCCUCCACCCACAAACUCGCCGUGAAACCCUCCGGUGAGCCGACAUUUCCGACUUCCCCCAAAUCAGGUCGCCGUGACCUUCUUCUCUGGCGAACUCAAUGCUGACCUCCUCGGAGCCUCUCGUCUUCUCUGGUUAGGUCCUAGAGGUAGCUUAGGUCAUUAGCGAACGUUUGCGCCACUUGGUGGACGCUCUACCGCACUCAACGUCGCCGGACACGACGCGCAGCGCCGCCGUGUUUCCGCCGGAGUUCGGCUCUCUUGUGGCCAGCUCAUUCCACACCGUUUCAAGCCUAGUCACCUACCUAGGAAGCUUCGCCAUAGUUCACUGGUGCUGUAGGAAACCCUAGGUCGCGCUCUACCGGCCUGAGAGCUCAGGCGUAAUGCCGAGCGCGUCCGCCGAGCCGCCAUGGUCGACGGCAAGCCAUUUCCGGUGGCUCCGCCAUGGGGAAAAGGGGGUCACUCGGUUCGCAAGGGUCUAGGGAUCACGUUGGUACCCUUGGUUUGGUCGGAGACCUCACCGUUGCAGAGAAAUCACCGGUGAAAGUCGUCUCGGUCGUAAGGAAGACGACCCUGAUACGCGGGACCCGCUGUCAGCGACACACCGUUUCCCUCCUUUUCUUUUAUUCAAAUCCAGAUUUUUGGUAUUCUUAUAAAAAUCAUAUCUUCUGUUGCUUUGAUCCAAAAAUUGUGAAAUAAAUUUUGUUGUGUUCCUUGAGAUGGCUAGUUUUUAAUAAAAAUAUAAAAUGUACCAUGUUUUCAGGGAAAAGUAAUUGUUAUGAUUUAAUCUUGUUAUUUAUGAGUAAAUUCAUAUCUUUUGUUAUACUGCUCCUUUUGCUAUGAAAUUUUUGGUGUAGUUUCUGAGUGUUAUUAGAAUGUUAUGAUAAAUAUUUCAUGAUUUUUGGAGUACUGUAUCUGUGAUAUGUAUUUUAUGUUUGUGAUAUGGCAUGUUUUCUUAUUUAAAUCAUAAUAAAAGUUUGGUGCUUAUGCUGGUGCUCUACUCUUGUGUCAAACUUAAUUAUUGUAAUAGUAACAUGUAAAUAAUUUGAAAUCUGUUGUUUGACACUAUCUGAGCUAUGUUUCCUGUUUGCUUAUGCUGGUGCUCUUCCAAGUUGGGUUCCAGAAAUAGUGUUCUCUGUUUUUCUGGGACAGAACCUGGAACUUUGUUUAAAUCACUUGUUUAACUUAUGAAUCUUGCUAUGAUGUCUAAAGAUGAAAUGUUGAAAAUUUCAUAAGCUUUCCAGAAUGUCCUCAUUCAUAUUUGUUGCAUCUGUAUAGCUCCAGUUAUGAUUUAUUUCUUGAGCUGCUCUGUUAUGUAAGGAUUGCUGUUUAUGGUUUGACUUGCUAGGUCUUGCUAAGUUAAUUAGUUGUCCUUUGUGAGUUUAUCUUGGAAGUUUACUCAGUAAAUGAGUGUCCAGCGAAGUUCUAAUUAUAUUGUCAAGCAUUCAUCCCCAUCUAGUAUGCACCCAUCCUUACUUAUCAUGCAUGCAAUAGGUGCACCGGAUGCAACAGCUUCAUUCGAGCUCCAGGUGAACCCCGAGGGUCAAGAGAUCAACCCGGCGAUGGAGGUCCAGCAAGCCGAACACGUGGAGCCCGAAGAGAAGAUUGAGUGCCCGAAUCAUGAGCCUGCAUCAUUCGUGAAAGGCAAGCCUCGGAGCAUCUUAAGUCUCCCCUUUUUUCCGAAAGAUUACUUGAUUAUGUUACAUCUAUUGAUGCAUUACUUAUAGGAGUUGUGAUGAAACCCUUGCUGCAUUUUACUCAUUCCUUGUCCAGAUAUCUUACCACUACCUGGUUAUAGAGUUAGGAUCAAGUAGCGGCUUAGUCAUGCUUUAAUCGGUAGAAGUCAGGUGAUAUCCUGUCACCUGCGCGAGAUAGGGUUGUGUUGGAUCCCGAUUGUCUAUAUGUGCUAUCGUGGAAUGAACCUGUUUAAAAUGACUUAAGCCGGGCGGAGUUUUGCAAGGUUGUAGUAACUCCGUCUGUGGCAGCUAAGGACCGAUCGUUGUACGUCCUCUUGUCAUGUUGAACGCAUGAAUAACACUUAGUUGGUUGGAUAACUCGUUCCGACCGUGAAGCCUAGUAGUAUGACUCAGGCCGGAAGACCGGCAACUAUAAAGUGCGCACUACCGGAGGAAGUGCGGUGUGUGGGGGACCAUUGGCGUAAGACCAAAGGCAGGUGAGUUAAAAUUCCUGACCUCCCUAGCAAAGUGGUAGCCCUAGGAGUGCGGCGCUGAUCGGAGCCGCGAUUCCUGAGUCGUACCAAAGGUGACCCGCUUGCUCUCCGACGGGGGCUGUUUGGGUGAGUGCUAGGAAUAACCCUCCAGCUGGAUAGGAAACGAUUCGAAUCGCCGUCUCUCCCGGAUAGUGAGAACUUGACAGAGCAACGGCAAACGUAGCGUCCACUAAUGAACAAUGGUUCGUGAUGAUGGUGAUAGCAAGGAAGAGCAUAUGAUGAACUUGAUAUGGUUAUUAUUGCUUGUAAUAAUUAAGUGAUGUGUUGUAGUCCAGGUGCUAAUCUAGUGGUAGGCUAAUGAUGAUUAAUAUGAUGCUUUUACUAUAAUGUAGCUAUCUAUUAAGCAUUUAGCAACUGUUGAGUCAAGCCCGCUCCACUUUAUACUUGGCCUUGCAUGAUCCUUGGUGUCUUUUAUGUUUUACUAGAUGGGUAAGUCUAGCUGAGUACAUCCCCGUACUCAGGGUUUAUUCCCACCUGUUGCAGAUGAUAUCUUUUAUGAUGGCUUCUGCAAGACCUGUCUCCUUCCUGCUGGGGAUGAAGACUAAACCGUUGGGCACGGUUCUCUAACUACUUCGUAUCUGUUGCUUUUGAUGGAUGGCAUGAGACUCUGGCUAAAACAAGAACUUGUGAAAUGAACUUUGGAAUGUGAGUUGUAAACUAUUUUGCUUCCGCUACUACAAACAUGUGUUGUAAUAACUAAGUAACUCUGAUGUGGUGCCGCUUCGACAGCAAUAAAUGACAAUGUAACAUUCGUUGUGUUAUGUUGAACUAUUACGAUCUUGGUUUGUUGCAAGUUGGUUUGAAGUCCUUCAUGAUUUCAGUUGACUACCGGGAUUAUAUGGGCUCAAGUUUGGAAACUUGAUUACUAGUUGAUCAUUUCUACACUUGAACUCUUAUAAUUUGGUCGGUUCUGUGACAAGCACCACGCUUAAUUCAAAAAGGCAUUGAAAGUAAAAUCAACACAGCUCUGAGUUUAAAAAAUCAAACUAAACACCUUGUCUAAUUAUGACUCAAGAAAACAGUUUAAACUAAGCACCAUGCCUAAUUCAAAUGGUGUAUGAAAUUUCUCUAAACCUUAAGCAUACUAUAGCAAACAAAGGUAACAUGAAAGUUUAUAGGUUCAAAUAGAGAUGAAAGACCAUAAUCAACAAAUUGAAUAAAGGUAGAGAUAACCAAUAUUAGCAGCAUAGGAUUUUCUAAAUAAGGCCAUUCCCCCAAGCUAGAAUUUUGCAAAGUAAAUGUUAGCUCGAGUGGAUGUUAUUCAAAAUUGCAUAAUGAUAGGUUAGUGAUACUUGGUGCUGCCGUUAUUAAUUCUCUCACUUCAAACCUGAAAUGGUUAGUGACAAGAAUAUUCACAGGAAUAUUUUGACAAUUCUAUUUCUAUGCUAAAGGUGCAGGCUUAAUUCAUUUUUUAAGAGUGGUUAUUUUAGAACACAAAGUUGUUGUUGGGAAACCUUCUGAUUAUUAUAAUUUGAGUUGGUGAGGUGGUUUCCUCUAGAACAUUAGCCUUUGUGCACCUAUAUCCAGAUUACAACAAGAUCUAUAAUAUUUAUGAUAAACAUAUGCAUCUACAACCACCCUCUUAAUGAUUUUAUGAAUAGGUAGAAUAAAGGGGUUGAGGAUCUCAUGUGUGAUAAUAUUAGAGACUAUUUGAUCCAAGAGAUUUCUCAUAUGAGCAUGGGUCUGAUAGGGUGUUUAAUGAAAUAAUUCACAUACUCGAAAAUAUGAUCUCCCUUUUCAAACUCCAAGGGUGUCUCUUCAUGGUUGUCUAUAUGCAAUAAGUUUGCAUCUAUUAUUUCAUGCCUAUGACAUUUAUUAGAUAUUUUAUUUUCCAGUAUUUCCCAUGAAUUGAUGUCUCCAAGGUUGGUCUCUUCUAAAGCAUUUUCUAAACAUGGUUGAGUUAUGUUUAUUAAAGAAAUUGAUGUAAGCUCAACAUUUGAAUUUAGACCAAGUUUAGAUUCUAGUGCCAAAACUUCAUCUUCUUCCAUCCAUUCUUUGACAAUAGCAUAUGUAUUUCUAAUAUGUUCUACAUGUUCCUACUAUUGUCGUUGCUCUUCAAGGGCAUUCAUGUAAUCUUCAUGACUCCUAUUCUUAGGAUGUCUUGAUGGAUUUCUAGGGUCAUUAUGAAGUUUAGUAGAAGGAGCAUACAAAGAUUUAUUGGGGGUCAAGGAUGGGUUUAGAGAUGGGUUCAAAGACAAUUAAUAUGGGCAUAGAAGGGGAGAAGAUAAAAUUUAUUUCUAAGUGGCUUGGCUCUCCUUCUAUGGCAUCACUUGGCAUGCCAUCCCUGUAUUUUUUCCAAUGUCUUUUUUAGGAAGAAAAGGAAGAUGAUGAUGGUUUUUCCAAGAUACUCUUCUAAGAAGAUCUGAUAUGCAUUGAUUUAGGAGCAUCUUAGCUAACUGGAAGUCUAAAUCAUCGAAGUGGAAUUUUAAAGGUUUAGGAUUGAUAGCUAAAUCUUAGGAAUGAGAUGAUUGUAUUUUAGUUAUGAAGACUUCUGUUUUUAAUUUAGAUAAUAAAUUUGUUUCUCCUUUUAGGGAGUUCAAAAAUAGCCAGAGCAACUCUUUUGAGCAUAAAAUCUUACUUUUAAAAGAUAAGAAAGGACACUCAAGAAGAUAAAUCUAGGGAUUCCAUGUAACUCUUGGUAAGACCCAAAUGUUGAAUAAACAUGGGGCCCAGCAAACCAAAGUCAGGAUUAAUGAUCCCAUGAUAUAUUUGAGAAGGGUUUAUUAUAUUGUGGAGACAUGGGCAUAGCCUAUAGAUAUCAUGAUAAGGUUUGUGCUUUAAGCUUUUGCACAUGCCAUAAAGAUAGGUAUGGAAUUUAAAUAAAUAUCCAUAAGGAUAAACACAAAAAUAAUGAAGAGACUAUGAUAAAAUAGGAAUAGAUAAAAGUACAAUACAAGUUUAAGCUAAACUAAAGCAAAAUCAGCAAACUAUUCCCCGGCAACAGCACUAAAAAUGCUUGUUGGUAUAAAUUAACUGCACUCCAUUAAAUAAGUUUUAAGUAGGAUUAUCCGCAAGCGCACAGAUAUCAUACCAGUGUCACAUUUUACCCAGAGGUUUUAAAUAUUGUAUCCACAGAGAAUAGUUGUGAUAAUGACAAAGUAUAUAGACUUAACCCUACAAUUAGAUUAGACCAUAUCAAGAAAAAUGAAAUAGCUAAUGCACUCUGGUUCCGAUUCUGGUAAACUUUGUCUAAGACCAUCUUAUGAGGCAAGUAACCCGAAUAGGAGAAGAAACAGAGUAAUCUUCUACCAGGCACCUAUAAGCCUAUGAGUCCUAUCAACGGGAUGUGGACUACCAAGGAAUCAACGCAGCUAUAAAGUCACCUACGCAAGCUACCACAGUCCGGCCAAUCACGGGACAUCCACAAGCAAAGCUAACAUAGGCACCACGCCUACACUACGAAAUACUACUUCAACCAAGUCAUGACCAAGAUCAAAGCACUCAAUAAUGAACGAUUAAGAAUAAGUUCCUUACUUAAAUCGGAAUGGUAAGUACAAAAGAACCACAGAACGCAGCUCUAGGCGAGGGAACUAGAUCCAGACGAAUAUAGCAACGACGAAGCACCAAUAGGCCGAAACUUCUCCAGAAUCUCUACUCCUAUACUCAAUCUCUCUAAUCUCUAAACAAGACUAGAUCUAUAAGAACUAGUCUCUCCUAAUUGCUACAUCUAGAUGAACUAGAUCUAGAUGAACUAGAUCUAGAUCAACUAGAGGGACCCUAACCCUAAUUAUGUAGAGAUUACGAAGCUCCGAGGUGUAGAAUGCCUCUUGGGGGAGCCUUGGGCAUCAUUAUAUAGGCCGAGGUGUAGUAGGGGGCAGGGAACUGUCAUGUCAGCGAUCCGCGUCAUCAUUUUGUGUGCACCGCCGGAUCAAACUGACUUAAAAUCGACGGAGGCAUACUUUGCUUGGCUUCCAAGGAGGCAUGGGAGGAAGACUCCAGAAGGCGGCGGGCAUCGGGCAAAAUAGGGCGCUGACCAGCCCUAGGGUGGGGUCGGCCGGCCCCACCUUGUUUCCUCUGCUGGUCUCAUUCCUUCGGGUGUCUUCAAGACCCUUCCUGGGUCUUCUCGUGUUGUUUUCCGUCGUGGAUGAGUUUCAUGGUAAAUAUGCACUAGAAUCCCUCUUUUCAGCUCUUUGUGAAAUAAACCUUAGAAAAAGGAGAAUAUGCAAAACUCGUGGAAAUUGUCAGUUUAAACCCAAGACUAGUGUGUUUUCAUGUUCUCCUUUGGGUUUAAAUUUCUAAUAAAAGUUGACAUUAUUGACUAUCAACAAUUCCCCCAAGCUUACCUUUUGCCAGUCCCUUGGCAAACCAAGCCUAAGCAGUAUAUGUAUUUGGAUCAAGAGUUGCUAUAAUGUUUUCAUUCUUUCCAAGUACACAUGCUCCUAAACAAAGAUUCUCCUCCGGAUUAGUCAAUAACUGCUCUAAUCUUCAAACUUACCCAUUUUACCCUUAACCAUGGGGCUUUACAGCUUUUGCAUGAGUCUUGAGCAAUCAGAAGACAGAACAAUCAGGUCAAGCACUAUGUCUCAAAUUCUUUGCAGAACCAUUAUUCCAGAGUUUUUUUUAUAAAUUUUCAGAAUAAAACUCAGAGCUUAAUUGUAUGACACCCUCAAGUCUCUCAAUGUAUGUGGUAUUUAUUGUUCUCUCUUGAGGCAUUAAUGAUGCUAUGCCUCCAAUAGCUAAAGGUAUAUAUAUGGUAGAGCUUAUAGGAGUGCUAAUAACAAGGAUAGGCAUACUUGCAAUACAUGUAUUGUAAAGUCAACUAAUGGAUCCAUAGAGAAUCGAGGCAUAUAAUCAAACCAAGGUGUGCAUGCAUAUGGAAUAUGGUGGAUGGGGGUAUCUGUGGUAUUUGUGGCCAAUUUUUAUUUCUACUUUUGCUCCUUGAGAUAAAUCUCUCCUUUGAUCUUGGAACUUUUCGCAGGAAAACAUGGGCUAUCUUUAUUUAUUUUUUUAUUUUUUUUAUUUUUUUAUUCAGGGAGGCGGCAUCUAGUACCCAUUGUUUUAAUUACUGAGACACUUGUCCAUCUUUUACUCCUUUUUCUUCGCUUCUUAUCUUUUUUUCAAUAACUUUCCUUUUGCAUAGCCACAUGCAUCCUUUGAAUACAAUAUGGUAAUUGGAGAGACAACAAUAAGUAUUUAGAGCAAUUAAACAAAGGUUGUCCUAUGGGUUUGGUUUAUGUUGGUGUUUACUCCCAGUGUAGGAGAAUAAUGCAUAUGUGAACUGGAGUGUGUACGUGAUCUUGGUCUUAAAAGCAUGACAAGACUCUCAUAAGGUAUACUACAAAGGUUGACUGAACUCAAUGCAAAGCAAGCAACAUAAAUGUGCAAAAAGUUUUCCUAACUCUAGAUGUAUAUUAUAUAUGGCUUUGGUAGGAAUUCAAACUAGUCAUACAAGAGCUCAUCAUGUUGGAUUUCAGGUUUUCAAAAUAAAUCUCCAGAACUUAGUAAUGCUAGGAAUAAGAUAAAUAGCAGCUCAGACUUUCAAUAAUCAUAUCAACCAACUACCUAGACUUAGCUCAAACUUAUGCCUCCACAAGUUGCAGGUUCAGAGUAAACCUUCAAAUUAAAAUAGUAAUGUCCAAAACUUGAGAGAAUCUAAUGUUGAAAUCUAGGUACUUGUAAAGAAAUAUAACAGAGCAACUAUUCAUCAUCUCCAAGACAAAAAUUUUAAUGUUCAUAAAAUUUUUAUUUAGCUCUAGUUUAACCUGACUGUGAACAGACUCUAACACUUAACUAAUUAUAAACUCACAAAAAGACUAUGACUUGUGGACCUUCAUGUGCCCACAUAUUUUUGGCAUUUUUAUGUUUUUUCUAUGAUACUAUGGUGAACCUUCAUGUGCUCAAAUAUUUUUGGUAUUUUUUAUAACUAUGUAGACUCGAAAAUCACUUAAGUAUAAUUACCUCAUAACUAGAAGUUUAAAUCAUCGAAGUGGAAUUUUAAAGGUUUAGGAUUGAUAGCUAAAUCUUAGGAAUGAGAUGAUUGUAUUUUAGUUAUCAAGACUUCUAUUUUUUAAUUUAGAUAAUAAAUCUGUUUCUUCUUUUGGGGAGUUCAGAAAUAGCCAGAGCAACUCUUUUGAGCACAAACUCUUGCUUUUAAAAGAUAAGAAAGGACUCUCGAGAAGAUCUGGGGAUUCCAUGUAACUCUUGGUAAGACCCAAUUGUUGAAUAAACAUGGGGCCCAGCAAACCAAAGUCAGGAUUAAUGAUCCCAUGAUAUAUUUGAGAAGGGUUUAUUAUAUUGUGGAGACAUGGGCAUAGCCUAUAGAUAUCAUGAUAAGGUUUGUGCUUUAAGCUUUUGCACAUGCCAUAAAGAUAGGUGUGGAAUUUAAAUAAAUAUCCAUAAGGAUAAACACAAAAAUAAUGAAGAGACUAUGAUAAAAUAGGAAAAGAUAAAAGUAUAAUACAAGUUUAAGCUAAACUAAAUCAAAAUCAGCAAACUGUUCCCCAGCAACGGCACCAAAAAUGCUUGUUGGUAUAAAUUAACUACACUCCAUUAAAUAAUUUUUAAGUAGGAUUAUCCGCAAGCGCACAGAUAUCAUACCAAUGUCACAUUUUACCUGGAGAUUUUAAAUAUCAUAUCCACAAGGAACAGUUGUGAUAAUGACAUAGACUUAACUCUACAAUUAGAUUAGACCAUAUCAAGAAAAAGGAAAUAGCUAAUGCACUCUAGUUCUGACUCCGGUAAACUUUGUCUAAUAUCAUCUUAUCAGGCAAGUAACCCAAAUAGGAGAAGAAAUAGAGUAAUCUUCUACCAGGCACCUAUAAGCCUAUCAGUCCUAUCAACGGGAUGUGGACUACAAAGGAAUCAACGCAGCUAUAAAGUCACCUACGCGAGCUACCACAGUCCGCCCGAUUAGGGGACAUCCACAAGUAAAGCUAGCCUAGCCUCCACGCCUACACUACGAAAUACUACUUCAACCAAGUAAUGACCAAGAUCAAAGCAUAUGGGUUGUGAACCAAAGAACGAUUAAGAAUAAGUUGCUUACUUAAAUCGGAAUGGUAAGUACAAAAGAACCUCAGAACGCAGCUCUGGGCGAGGGAACUAGAUCCAGACGAAUAUAGCCACGACGAAGCACCAAUAGGCCAAAACUUCUCCAGAAUCUCUACUCCUAUACUCAAUCUCUCUAAUCUCUAAACAAGACUAGAUCUAUAAGAACAAGUCUCUCCUAAUUGCUACUUCUAGAUGAACUAGAUCUACAUGAACUAGAACUAGAUCAACAAGAGGGUCCCUAACCCUAGUUAUGUGGAGAUUACGAAGCUCUAGGGUGUAGAAUGCCUCUUGGGGGAGCCUUGGGCGUCAUUAUAUAGGCCGAGGUGCAGUAGGGAGCAAGGAACCGCCAUGUCAGCGAUCCGCGUCUACAUUUGUGUGCACCGUCGAAUCAAAUUGACUUAAAAUCGACGGAGGGAUACUUUGCUUGGCUUCCAAGGAGGCAUGGGAGGAAGACUCCUGGAGGCGACGGGCAUCGGUCAAAAUAGGGCGCCGACCGGCCCUAGGGUGGGGCCGGCCAGCCCCACCUUUUUUCCUCUGCGGGUCUCAUUCCUUCGGGUGUCUUCUAGACCCUUCCUAAGUCUUCUCAUGAUGUUUUCCAUCGCAGAUGAGUUUCAUGGUUGUUGACAUCAUUUUUGGACAAGAAUUGGGGUAAUCAGUAAGGCUUGGAUCGGCAGUCAGAAAGGUGAUGUGUCUGGCCGAUAAGGAGAUUGCCGAUAGCCUAUGAUACCGAUGACAAUGCAACAGGAGGAAGAUAUGGCUAAGUCUGGAGAUGGUUGCUGAUUGGUCCCAAUGUCUGAUGUUGAUGAUUGCCGAUGCCGAUGAAGGAGAAUAUGCCGAUGAUGGAGAAGGAAGACAUGGGGGUCGCUGGGAGGACAAUGGUGGUAUGUCGAUCACCUAGAAUAGAUAGGUUGUUACUUUCCAUAAUUGUUAGUUUAUUUUAUGUACGAGUUCUUUUUUGUUUGGAAUUAAAAUCCUAGUUGUAUACGGUUGUAACUCUUUAGUACAAAGUAUAAAUAUAGGCCUAGUAGCGAUGUAAGAAGACAAUGAAUCAAUAUCAUACACAAGUUUUUACAAUCUACUUUUGCAUCUACUUUUUUGAUGACUUCGUCAACUCACACGUUUGCUUCCAUUUACGAGUUCUUAAGAAUUCAACGAGUCAUACUCGGUGAAUUCUCGAGUUCCGUGUGAGUACCUCUUGGCCGUGGCAUCUGGGCGCAUUGCUGUUGCUGGGACCAAAGUAUUCGAGUUAUCACCUUUGUCGAUUGUUUAGGUCAAAUCGACUGCACGCCUCAACGUUUGAAUCGGGUAUUACCCCUUUGUGUUUGCAGAUUAACUUUUGCAUCAACACGUCUUUUGGCACGCCUAGUGGGACACAUCUAUCAACAAAAUUAACAUGGCUACGGCUGAUCUCGAUACGGAGAACGUCAUUGCUAUCAUAGAAGCUGAUCUCACGGACGAGCAGAAGCAGGCUAUGGCAACAAGAGCGGUGAAGUAAUCUAGAAGCAAGAGCUGCCGAUGCCUCGAUAGAUUACGUUUGAAGCCAAUCCUCGUAAAUUGCAAGACAUGGUUGACAAUGCUAUUAAUCGUGCUUUGAUCAAUCAAUCCAGUGUGUUGUCCAAUACUGUUUAUAAUGUUGUGGCUAGAACUUUUAAAGAAGGACAGACACCACCAUUAUAUAUCGGCCCUACCUAUCAUCAGCCAGGUUGUCAUCGGUUACGGCUCCAUCGGCUCCUCUGGCCGUUGCGGGUAUAGAAGUUACUUCUCCUCCAAGCACAUUAGGGUUGAUUGAUGGGCAAUCUACACCGAUGAGACCUAAUCCAACGACAUCAGAGGGAUGGGUUCAGCUUAACACAGAUCUAUCGGCAUCGGCAAUGUUAGGAUCUGUAUUUUAGAAUUGUCAAGUUCCUCCCAAUUGGUGGGGGAUAUGGUAUGCCUCCGGAGUUUUUCGCAAAUAGUUCUGGAACAUCUCAGGUGACUGAUUUAGCAGGAAAAGCUCCUAUAACAUCGGCACCUCCAUUUUCGCCGAUGACUCAAAUUCCUCAGUAUUCUACAACUACUACUGCACUACCUGUUACUGGGAAUUUUCAAAUGCCAACGUUCCAGAUGCCUAACGCAAAUUAAUCGGCAGAUCUAUUGUCGACUCAACAAAGAUUCAUGACUCAGACAGGGUAUGUCAACCCAGCAAUGACAUCCAAUUAUCAGCCAUCGGCAGGCCCUGCGCCGAUGAAUGCUAACAACGGAUGGACAGGGCAGUUUGUCUUUCCACAUGUGACACAACAGAAUCAUGAGGCUACAGGAUUCCAACAAGGACAGAUGCAGGUUAGUUUUCAGAAUCAAGGACCAGCCAAUCAGCCGAUGAAUCUUGCUCAGCAGAUUGGUGGCCAGCAAGCUAUGGCCAAUGUUAUGUUUCCUAGAGAACGUGCACCUCAGAGACACGUGGAAGCUUAUCAGCAGGUGCCAGAACCUCAACCCACACAUCGGCAGGAUGCCGAUGCCCAUUAGGCCGAUAAGAUAGCAAAAGUUAUGAGGGAUCAAUUUGCAAUAAAACCAAAGGUCAUACUUAUUCUUAUCAGACAUCGUAUCCUCCUACAUAUGAUUUGAGUCCACUCCCAAAUCGGUACAAAGUACCAAAUUUCACUAAAUUCUCUAGACAAGAUGAUACGUCAACUAUGGAACAUGUUAAUCGGUUCAUCAUCCAAUGUGGAGAAGCUGCCAACAGAGAUGAUUAAGAGUUCAUUUGUUUUCAUCCUCUUUGUCUGGAUCGGCAUUCACUAGGUUUAUUUCAUUGCCUCCAAACUCACUUAUUACUUGGGCCGAUCUAGAGAAGCAGUUUCAUAAGUAUUUCUUCUCUAUGGUUCAUGAGAAGAAAAUUACCGAUCUAAUUAGACUGAGGCAACGUAAUGAUGAAUCAGAGGAGAGUUUUGUGUAGAGGCUGAGAGAUGUAAAGAAUAAAAGUUACAGUCUGGAUCUAGAUGAUCGGCAGUUAGGCGAUUUGGCUUUCCAGGGGUUAUUGCCAUAUAUUAAAGACAAAUAUGCUUCUCAAGAGUUUGAGAGUGUGAGAAAUUUGGUACAGAGAAUUUCUGAUCAAUAUAUCAAGGCUUUUGAACCUAGGAAAGCUUGUAAUAAGAAAGUGUCAUUUGUUGAUGAAGCAACAAGUUCAGAUUCUGAUGAAGAACCAGUCAUCGGCUUGGUAGAGUGGGUGAAGAGUAAAAAGCUGAUGUCUUGUCCUUUUGGUCAAAAGGAACCAGAAAAGUUUGCUUUUGAUAUCACCAAGGCUGAUAGGAUAUUUGAUUUCUUGCUUCAGGACGAGCAGAUUAAAUUGUCACCUAAUCAUGUGAUCCCAUCGACAGAGGAGUUGAAGAAAAUCAAUAUUGCAAAUGGCAUAAUGUAACGUCACAUAGCACAAAUGAGUGCAAAGUGUUUAGGCAGUAGUUGCAAUCGGCUAUAGAAUUUGGACGGAUCAAGUUUGAUAAUUCCAAAGCUUAGAAGCCGAUGAAAAUUGAUCAACAUCCUUUCCAUGUAAACAUGUUGGAUGCCAAAGGUAAGACUAAGGUCCUAACAUCAGAGGCAGCCGAAAAGAGCCCAUGGUAGAUCCUCAGCAUCAAGUAACCACCGAUGACACUAAGGGAAAGGGCUUGAUCAAGGAAGGUAGCAGCUCUGGACGACCCCCUCGAUCUAGUGUUGUGAUUACCCAAAGGCAGCAUCGAGAAACAUGGCAGCAACGUGAAGAUUGGUAUCACCGUCGGCAAGAGGAUCGAUGCCGAGAAGAAGAAAGAUGCCGACAAGAGUGGAAUCGACAUAAAGAUCACUAGAAUUGCCCGUUCUUUAUUCAUUGCUGGGAACAAAAUAUUAAAUUACCCACUGUCAGAGACUGUCCUAAAUGCAAUGGUUAUAAUCGGUAUGAUCGGUCAGAUCGGCAUUUUUAGAACAAUGAUCGACGUUUUAAUGAGCUGAUCAGAGGAAGGAUGUCAGUCCAUGAUCGGCUGGGGGGUAGGCUUAGCGUGCAUGAUAGGCUUGGUGAACGUGUUGGUCAUUUUCCAUGGAACCAAGAGGAACUUGAAGAAAUGGCAAAUGCAUAGGUUCCCGAUGAGUUUAUAUUUUGCAGAGAUGCUAAUACUCAUCGAGUAGAGUCAAGAGAAGUUGGCUAUUAGCCAGUGCAGACACCAAAGCUUCCCCAAUGGUGCCUAGAAGGACUAACAAGAACACAGAAGAGAAAGAUGCAGCGAGAACGGCAAGAAGAAUUGAGUUGGGAAGAAAAUUCUUCUAAGUCUGAAAAUCGACUGCAAUCGGACCGUAAGGGGAAACGACCAUCGGUAGAAGUUAACAUGGUAUUUAUGUUGCUGAUAGAGUUUCUUGCACCCUUUAGCGAUGAUGAGGAAUUAAAUCUCCCUGACUAGAUAGCUCAGUUGGCACUUGAUCCAAUGAUAGCCAUGUUUGAGAAGCCUUCCGAUGAUGAAAGACAGCAUCUUAAAGCUCUGUUUGUCAAAGGCAGGGUUGAUGGGCAGCCAUUGUCCAAAAUACUCAUUGAUGGGGGGGCUGCGAUCAACAUUAUGCCACAUGUAGUAUAUCAGAAACUUGGCAAGGGAGGUCAGGAUUUGACCAAGACUGAUAUGAUAUUGAAAUAUUUUGAAGGGAAUGUGUUUCCAAUUAAUGGAGCUAUAUGUGUUGAAUUAACCAUCGGCAGCAAGACUUUGCCGACAACUUUCUUUGUCAUCAGUGGAAAAGGUGCAUAUAAUUUACUGCUGGGGAGAGAUUGGAUUCAUGCCAAUUGUUGUAUUCCUUCUACAAUGCACCAGUGUCUUGUUCAGUGGGUAGGUGACAAAAUUGAAAUUGUCUCGGGAGAUUCUUCAUAUGUCAUUGCAUCGGCAGAGUCAGACACCUAUGAGCGUACCAGAUGCAUUUUAGGAGAGGUUUGGGAGAAAGAUUUCCUCAAGCUUACCGAUUAUGAAAUUCCACCAAUCCAAGCUGUUGGUUCUGAUGAAGAGGUUUAAUGGAUAGGUUUGCCGAUGAUGGAAAGUUAGGACAGGGGUUUACAUCGGCUGACGAUUUAAUAGAUAGGUAAUGGUGAUAGGUCAAGACCUACUUUUAUUAGUGCUAAGUUAGAUCCUGAAUGCAAGCAGCAAUUAACCGAUUUAUUAAAGGAAUAUAAAGAUUGCUUUGCUUGGGAUUAUACCGAGAUGCCUGGUUUGGACCGAUCAAUUGUUGAACAUCGGUUGCCUAUUAUAUCUAGAUUUUGGCCACAUCAGCAACCAACACACCGAUGUAACCCUAAUAUUCUUCCGGAUAUUAAGGCUGAAAUAACCAAACUCAUUGAGGCUAAGUUUAUUCGGCAGUGUCGGUAUGCCGAAUGGAUUUCUAAUUUUGUUCCUAUCUACAAAAAGAAUAGAAAGUUUCAUGUUUGUAUCGACUGUAGAAAUCUCAAUAAAGCUAUGCCGAUGGAUGGUUAUCCAAUGCCAGUUGCCGAUUUGUUAGUCAAUGGUACGGCUGGACAUCGAAUUUUUAGUUUUAUGGAUAGCAAUGCAGGGUACAAUCAAAUAUUCAUGGUUGAAAAAGAUAUUCCCAAGACUGUAUUUAGAUGUCCCGGUCAUGUUGGAUUGUUUGAAUGGAUAGUCAUGACUUUUGGCUUAAAAAUUGGUGGUGCUACAUAUCAGAGGGCCAUGAAUUUUAUUUUUCAUGAGUUCAUCGGCAAGUUGGUGAAAAUCUACAUUGAUGAUGUGGUGGUUAAGUAUGGGGAUUUCACAAAACAUCUAGCCGAUUUGCGAAAGGUGUUGGAAUGCACAAGAAAACAUGGUUUGAAAAUGAACCAUAAUAAGUGUGCAUUUGGUGUAUCGGCAGGUCAGUUUCUAGGUUUCAUGGUACAUUAGAGAGGGAUUGAAAUUAGCAGAAGGUCUAUUGAUGCGAUUGGUAAAAUAGUUGCUCCUACCAAUAAAACUGAACUUCAAUCACUGAUCAGCAAGAUUAAUUUUAUCAGACGAUUUAUAUCUAAUUUGUCGGGUAAGAUUCGUGCUUUCAGCCCUUUGCUUAAGUUAAAAGCCGAUCAGCAGUUUGUGUGGGGAAAAGAGCAAUAAUUAGCCUUGGAUGAAAUCAAGAAUUAUUUAGCAAAUCCUCCAGUUUUGGUUCCACCUCAGCAUGGAAAGCCCUUCAUAUUAUAUUUAUCUACUGAUGAUGUGGUCAUCGGUUCGACUCUCAUUCAGGAGUUUGAAGGGAAAGAACGUGCAAUUGAAAAAUUAUGUUUAUGAUUGUACAUUUCCUGUGUCAAGUUAAGACAUUACUUACUAUUGGCCGAAUGCACUGUCAUAUGCAAAGAUGACGUAGUCAGAUACAUGUUGUCAAUGCCGAUUAUGAGUGGUAGAAUCGGCAAAUGGAUAUUAGCCUUGUCAGAAUUUGACUUACAUUAUGAAUCGGCUAAGGCAGUUAAAGGGCAGAUCAUGGCCGACUUUGUAACAUAGCAUUGUGGUGUAGUGGAUGCUCUAGAAAUUGUUCCUUUGACACUUUUCUUUGAUGGAUCUACAUGUGAUCGGGGAGCUAGUAUUGGUAUAGUAUUGAUUUCUCCUCGUGGAAAGAAAUAUGAGUUUUCUUUACCAAUUGUUGCUACAUCAACAAACAAUCAAGCUGAGUACCAAGCUCUAAUCAAAGGGUUAGAAUUAUUAAAGGAAGUUCAUGCCGAUGCUGUCGAAAUCUUCGGUGAUUCUAUGCUUGUUAUAAAUCAGUUGGUUGGGAUUUAUGAAUGCCAGAGUGAAGUUUUGAUAGCAUGUUAUGAAAGGUGUGUGCAAUUGUUGAAGGAAUUCAGGGAUUUCCGAUUAGAGCAUAUUCCUCGUUUGCAUAAUGAAGAAGCUAACCGAUUAGCUCAACAUGCUUCAGGAUAUCAACCCAUCUUGGAAAUAUUAUCGGUAGUCCGUGCCGAUGAUUGGAGAAAAUAAAUUAUUGAUUAUUUAAAAGAUCCAUCCAGAAAAGCUAAGAGGCGUGUUAGGUUUCAAGCUACAAAGUAUGUACUCCUUGAAGAAGAAUUACAUUAUCAUACAAUAGAAUGAGUUUUGCUCAAAUGUUUAGGUGAAAUUCAUGAGGGAGUAUGUGGAGCGCAUCAAUCGGCUUUUAAGAUGAAGUGGAUGAUUAGAAGGAACGAAUAUUAUUGGUUGAUUAUACUUGAGGAUUGUUUCAAGUAUUUCAAAGGAUGUCAAGGAUGUCAGAGGUUUGGCAAUAUUCAAAGGGCACCCGCAUCGGCUAUGAAUCCUAUUAUUAAACCUUGGCCGUUCCGAGGUUGGGCUAUUGAUCUCAUCGGUCAAAUUUAUCCGCCAUCGAGUAAAGGGCAUAAGUUUAUUCUUGUUGCCACUGAUUAUUUCACUAAAUGGGUUGAGGCUAUUCCUUUGAAGAAAGUGACAUCAGCCAACAUGAUUGAUUUUGAGAAGGAGCAUAUUGUUUACCGAUUUGGCAUUCCCUAAACAAUCACUGCCGAUCAGGGUACUAUGUUUACGUCACGAGAGUUUGAUGAGUUUGCAAUCGGUAUGGGGAUUAAAGUGUUGAAUUCUUCUCAUUACUAUGCUCAAGCCAAUGGACAGGCCGAGGCUCCUAACAAAGGGAUUAUUAAGCUCAUGAAGCGGAAGAUUGAGGAAAAUCCCAGACGAUGGCAUACUCUGUUAAAUGAAGCUUUGUGGUUGUUGAUAUUUGGUAACGCAAUAAGGAAACGAUCCGCAAGCGCACGGAUAUCGGUGAGCAUUUCACUCGGGAGGUUAUCCAGAGUUAUCGUAUUUAUAUUUUUACCACUGGAGAAAGGGUGCAUCUGACUAACCAAAUCUAUUGCUACUAUCCCUUUAGGCUACAAAGAAUGUCUCUCGAUGUGAGUGAUAAAUAGAGAAGACUGCAACCGUAGUCUCCUUCUAACCUUGGUAAGGACGAUCUACUGUUCUAAUGGGGAGGCUAACGGAAUCUAGACACCACAAAGGAUGUUCAACCCGCACCUAUAAACCCUAUCCUUCCUGCUAACAAGAUGUGAUCUGCAAAGGUAACUCGGAAUUGUCACGUUCCUCACUACUACCACGGUCCAGCUAGUCAGGGAAUAUCUAUGAGUACCCCAGCCUAAACACCACGUUUACGCCAGCAAUGAUUACUCUAAACUCUACGCGAAGAGAUUAAAGUAAACUCAUAAACCAUAAGAACAAUAAAACAAGAACUUACUAGAAUUUAGAAGUCGAAAUACUGAAGAAUCCUAGGAGCAAGCUUCGGGUUAGGAGAACUUGAUCCCGCAGGUACAAGCUUGGAGUAGACACCGACAGGCCGGGCUUCCUCCAAUCUACACCUCCACUCUAUCUCUCUCAAUCUAGUAGAAACUAGAAGAUAUAUUUCUACUUUACAUUGGUUGCUAAGCCUAAAAAGAAAUAUUAAUUAGAGAAGAGGUUUUCCUUCGAGGGCACCCCUCAAUCUCUAUGAUAAUUUCUUGUUCUCCUCCAGGGGCCAGGGGCCUUGCUUAUAUAGUCAUCCUCCUCUGUGCGUUUUUGGUUCAGCAGGCGAUGUGGUACUAAACUUUGCACCCUAUCUCAUUAAAAUGCAUAUAGGCCUUAAUGGACCAAAAUCUGAUUUGGGCCCAAUUAAUCCCGCAGCUCUUUUAUGUGGAGUCCUUCUUUUAUUAAUAUCUCUUGAUUCCGAACUCCAAAUAUAGCAAAUAAUAUAUGCAUUUCGAUCAGCUCGACGAGAUCUUUGCAAUGGUGGACUCCAUUCUGUGAUUGGUGGAAACACCUGGGCGGGCGCCCAAGGGGGGUGGGCGGGCGCCCUGCCCCUGGGCCCGUUUGCCUUCUCGUUCGUUCCCGUGGCUUCUGGAGUCUUCUAGAUGAUAGAAAAUUGCGCGGUGCAUUGAUAUCUCUAUGUAAUCCCGACAUAUGGGCCAUUCUUUCGUAUUUCCUGAUAACCCCUGUAGAAAUAGACAAACACCAAAACUCGUGGAAUUCUGUCAGAUAAAAUCCUAAGUCUAGAUGUUGAUUUUAUUUGGAUCCUUUUCUUUGUUUAUUUGAUAAUUAAAUUUGAUACUUAAGGACCAUCAACAAACUCCCCCAAGCUUACCUCUUGCUCGUCUCUGAGCAAGGAUAGACUCAGCAAUGGAUUAGAAGUUGUUGCAAUAUCUUUAAAAAUUGACGGUACACAUGCUUUUUAAAUAAGAUCUCAUCUUUGAGUUAGAGUAAACUGUCAAGACUUAAAACUUACUUUACCUUCACCAUGGGACUUGUAACCGUCACUUCUGUCUUGAGAGGUUAAAAGUUAGAACAGUCUAGCCAAGUGCCAUGUCUCUUAUUCUUGAUCAGCUAUAGCUCUGGGUUUUUUUUUGCAGAUUUUCAAAUGAAACUCAGAGAUUACUUGUUUGACUCUCUCAUAUCUCUCUUUUGUGGUAUUUCUGGAUCCUUACCAAGGCAUUGAUGGUAUAUGUCUUCUCUCAAGAUAUGUGGUAUUUAUGGUAUAAGGCAUAGUGACAUUGCCUUCUCUCUCACCCUACUCUAAUAAGGCUUGAUAUCUGGAGCUCAUAGGUGAGAGACAGCUAAUACAUACUUACAAGACAUUUAUUGCAUAGUCAAACCAUGGAUCCAGAGAAACAAAUCAAUAAGCCAAAUCAAGAUGUGCAUGUGUGGCGAAUGAAUGGUGUAUGGUGAUGAUGGUAAUAACAAUUGUGAAAGUCUAAUUCUACUUUUGCUCUUUUGAGGGGAUACAUACCUUCUUGCUUUUUGAAACUUUAUGAGGAGAAUGAGAUGCUCUUCUUUUUCUUUCCUCUCAGGUGGGUAUCUUGUACCCCUAAUUCUACUGUCGGACACUUGUCUAUUUUUACCUCUCGUCUCACUUUUUCUUUCUUUCGAGGUUCCGAGCACUUGCCCCUUUUUAUUUCCUCGUUUAUAUAUUUUUUUCUUCUCUUUUCUUUCUCUUUUUUUUCAGAGCACUCAUCUCUUGAGAUAAUAUAGCAAGUGGUAGUAACCAAAAUAUUUGGAGCAUUUAUUUCACAGGGAAUAAGAGGGAUAAGAAAAUGUUUUUGACUAUUCUCUCCCGGAUUAGGAGUAGAAUAUUUUUGGGUGAUUCUAGAGAUGGAAAUGGAUGGAUAUAUGUGGAUGGUACUUCCGGAGUAGAAGUAGCAUAUAUGAGUGUAACAUCCCUGAUGUUACGAUUACUAAAAACGGAUCAUGUCAUCAUAAGCAUUGCAAAGCAUAUUUGUUAAAGCACAUUAGUAUGCAUCAACUUAAAAUAAGUUUACCUUGAUUGCUUGAGCUUAGGGAAGUAGAGUGUGCUUCUGUGGUGUGUUGUUGCUUGUGUGGUUGCUAAAACCCUAGGGUGGAAGUUUUCCGAAAAGCUAAGGGGGGGAAAACCCUGAUUUCUGGAUCCUAGAUUUGUCCCCUUUUGCAUAAGUCAAAAACUAAGCAAAAUUUGAGGUUGAGUUCAAAAGCAAAGUUGUAGCUCUUGGCAAGAUGUACAACUUUGGUGUUUUGAGUUUUUGAAGUUUCAAUACAAAAUUCAAAGUAAUUUUGAAAAUACAGAUUUCCAGAAAGUGUCCCCUUUUCCAACUUAAACCCCCAAUUCAAAAUCCAUUUGGAAUUUUGAAAAGUGGUCAACAUGAAAGUUGUAGAGCACAAAAAGUUGAGCAACUUUCAUGUUGGGAGUUUUUCAAGCUGUUAUGCAAAAUCAAAAGUAAUUUUGGAAAUCCUGAUUUGCCCCAAUUCAAAAAUUUGAAUCUCUUUUGAAUUGAGUCUGAUUUUCAAACUGUCUGGCAAAAUUAACUUAUUUCCAGUGAGAAUCAGCUUGGGACACCUAAAUAUGAUUUGUAGUUUACAAAAUUUGGAACAACUUUUGUUUUGACAAAAAUUUGACUCCAGUUCAAAUUUCGGUUGAUUUUCGCAAAGUUCUGAAAAGAGGGGAUAGGGGUCUGCUACAGUGAUCCGAUAGGGAUCACCGGCUCCCUGCCCAGCGCAGCUGCCGCGCGAGCAGCGCCGCGCGCAUGCGUGAGUGCACGCAGCUGCUUGCUGCCAGGGUCGCUAGGCGACGUGGAUGCCUCAGGCUUGCCUUCCCCUCCACUUGAGCACCGACGUGGACGACGCCGUCCGUUUUCACUGUCCACGGCCGGAGAAACUCGACCUCCCUCUCUCUGAAAUCCACCGCACUCCGUUCCUUUCGAGCCAAUUUGAGCACGCUGCCGUUUUCGCCACCUCCUUGCGGACCCAGAGCACCCCCGAGCUCACGCCCUAACCCCCUCAAACGCCAGAACUUCUCCUUCUUCUCUAAGUCCGGCCGGCGUCGCCGCCGUGGAACCCUUCACGUGAGCACGCUGCUCCAGUCGGUACCACGCCUUGAAGGCGGUCGUUCUGAAUUCUUCUUGUUUCCCCGAUACUCAUGCGCUCGCUAUUUCUCACUGGACGCCAACAGAAUCACCGGAGCAACCUCGCCGGAGCCGGAGCAUCCGCCCGACCGCACGGCCACCGUCGCCAAGCUUCUCUACCGCUUCUCCCGCCGUGGUGAUGUGAGCAUCAUGAUCCCCACUUCUUCCCGGACCUCCCGGACCUACUGGUUCACGCUCUACCGAACCUUCGUGCCCGGUCCUCGGCGACCGACGCGGCCGUCCGCCAUUUGCGUGGUUGAGGUGGAAAGAGAGCGAGAGAGCGUCCGUGAGUGGUAACUUUGGAGUCGCAGGGUUGGCACGGUGCUGGUGCGCGCGCGCGCGGGGGCCGCGGAACCCGCUAACGGUCGCCGGAGCGGCGGCAGCACCGCCGUGAGCGAGGGAGGCGAAGCUGACAGGCGGGACCCGCCUGUCAGCGUCCCGCAACGUGAGGAGAGGGGGCAGCACGCGCCGUCCGCGCAGGGGAGCGCCCCCGGGCCGAUUUGGGCCGUGUCCAAGCAGGCCGUCUGCGCAGCGCGGUUGUGGGCCGACCUGCGGGCCAAGAUCCAGGCCGCCCACUGCGCAGAGAUCCUUUUCUUUUUCUUUUUAUGCAAUUUUUGUUUGAUGUUUGAAAUUAUAUGAUAAAUGGUGUGCUAAUCCAAAAAUGAUGAAAGUUUUUGUAUAGGUUCCAUAAAGUGGGUAGAACACAAGAAAAAUAGUAGAUUCUAUUUUUCUGGUAGUUUACAUGUCUAUAAAAAUUGGCUCUUUAUUUAGUGAAUAAAACUUCUAGGAAUUUUAGUAAUUUAUUAGGAGGUCCAAAAAUCACCAAAAAUUGUGGAGAGCCUCUGAGUGGUAUUCCCUGGCUCCACACAAAAUUUGGUGGCAUUUGGAUAAUGUUUGAUUAAAAUAUUAAUAAACCCUUAUUUAGCACUUAAAUAAUAAUUCCAAAAUAAUUAAAUGGUGAUUAUUUAGAUCCUCAUAAUUAGGGUUGAGUGAUUUUGGAUUGUGUGAUAACCUAAGGUCAUUCACCCUAAUGACCUUUGGCAUUUGAUUAUUGUUUAGCCAUAAUGCUUAAUUACUGUCAUUAGUAAUUAAUUAAGAGUUAAUUAAGGUAAUUAGGAUUAAUAAUUAACUAAUUUAAGAUAAGUGUGAAUUAAAUAAAGUUUUAGUUUACAGAUGCAAUCUCUUGGGUAAAAUCAUUAAGUUAUUAAACAACUUUAUUUAGCGAUAAUUCUGUAUUGCAUCAAGAAGGCGAGUUGUACUCGAUUUGGUCCUUCUUGCAUAUUUGUCAUACGCAUAUCAUGAGCAUUCAUCAUUUUGCGUAUAGUGUCCGUGACCGAAGGAGCGCCCGUUGAACCGAACCCCGAGGUCGGUGCUCCGUUCGAGAAAGUCGGAUCCGAGACUUGGGAAGUCUCCGAGGGUCCCUCUCUGCCCUACAACCAAGGCAAGCCCCGGAUGCAUUAACCCCUCCUUGGAUGUUUUAAAUCUUUUGUCACUUAUGAAUUGAAAAUGCUGCAUUAGAUAGUUGAGAAUUGGGUUAACCUACUUGCUGCAUUUACUAUCUUGAUAUCCGUAUCCUGUCCUUGACACCUGUUUUAUUUUAAAACUGCGUAGCGAUGCUUAGCCCUGCUACUAGAUAGGUUUUUAAACAAGAAAGUUUGAAGGGUUGUUGUGGGAUACACUUACGAUCAAUGAUGUUUCAAUUUGAGACCGGUCGGUGGACUUGCUCUAAGAAUGGAGUCUUAAAGUAGUGUCUCCGACUGUGUUGAUUAAGGACCGUUCCGUUGAUGGCCUGCUGGGUUGAGAAUUUAUAGUACUAGCCACUUGCCUUCGGUAAGCCCGGUCUUGUGAUCCCUCGACGCGAACAGCUACUCGCGCACUGGGAGUGGAAAGAUGGCGAGAGUAGUGUGUACCCACCUUACGGAUCUGAGAUGACCGGAAAACAUCUAGAUCGGCUGUAGGAUGGUGGAGUACUGUGCUCUCGGGUGCCGCGAACCUGGUCAAAUUUGGGGAGAGCUUGAUUUGGGUUGAUAUAUGCAAGAUUUGGUUCUACAUAUGUCGGGUGGUUAGGAACUCCAGCUGGAUUGCUAAGCGAUUCGAAUCGUCGUUGCUCCCCGAUUGGGAGACUCAAUUCCUUCGACCCUCAUCGUAGUUAAAUAUGCAACUAAGUGAUAAAAUGAGAAAGGGGAAAAUGUCUCAUGAGGUUCGGAUCCCAAUUCCCGGACUCAUAGCGACAUGAAGCUAUGGCCAUCGAUAACUAUUACUUUAUGAUAGGACUAGGAACUCACGGAUUCGUCUGUGAGGAACAACCAGUUAGACUGUCCUCGAACUCCUCGGCCUCUGCGAGGGAGGAAUUCGUGGGUAAAACUUGAAAAUAAGGAUGCACUACUAGUAAGCUUUUUACGCAAAACACUUUGGCUCCUUGCUCAACCACCCCUUGCCUACCCUAAGCCUGCAUCCCUUAGUUCUCCUCUUUUUCUCAUCGGGUAAGUCUUGUUGAGUACUCCCGUACUCAGGGUUUCAAUACCCCUGUUGCAGGUGAAGCACAGGAGCCGACUUGUUUCGGACCCUGUUGUGUGACCGUUGUCGAGGUUGACGACGAAGAAGAGUGAGCGUGACCCAUGGGCAGGGUCUGUAAAUUUAUUCUGUCUAUACUAAAGUUUCAGUUGCUCCGCUGGACCAGGCUUGUAAUAACACUCUACUAUUUGGAAGAACUCCUUUUGUAAAUUAAGUUAUGUAAUACUUCCGCUGUUUCACUCUGAAAUAUUAUUUUGGUCUUGUGUUGUUGAGUUACUGCUUUAUCUUCGCAACGAAUGAUCCUGGUGUUAAGGUGGCCACUUGCUAUCCUGUAAGGGCGAGAAGAAACAGUUCUCGUUGUUUGACCAUUACCAGUGGUCAGGACGAGCCAGCUUGGUACGCCACGGGUAGCAGUGGAAUGAGCGCCCAGCAAUGCUCAUCGGACUUCUAAAGUGGGAGGACUCCCGGCUUCACCGUCAGAGGUCCUUAGGACAAUGGCAGGUGCCGGUGGGCCCAAACACUUAGGGGGUUCUGCCACAGCUGGUAUCAGAGCAUUCGUUGCUAAGAUGACUGCUGAACCUUUUGAAAAACUUCAAAAAUUCGUUUGGAACUAAUAUUAUGAACCUGCCUAUUUUGAGUCCAAGUGCUUAGUCCUAAUCUACCCCUGUCUAUAGGCUUUCUGAGAAUUUUUGAAGUGGUAUGGAGGAGCAACCUAAAGUAUUGCCCUAUGUUGUAAAAAUUUAAGGUACUGUUGUUACGAAUUGUUAGUAGGAAUCGUAAGUUCGUGCAUGCAUCAUGAUGUAUUAACUGGUUAAGUUCCUUCCUCCUUGUUGGGUUGGGUGAAUAGAAUCAAUCCUAUUCUUGCUAACCUUUAAGGUCUCUCUUACUAAUCUAAACUUACCCUCUACAGGAUGGCUCGUCAGAAGCAGACCCCGCGUAAGCGGACCGGUCCAAAAGGAGUUCCCCGACAUCAGCUAGCUCCACGCAGUGAUCAAGCCAGUAGUAGCCGUUCACCGCCUCAGCAGGAGGUGGACAGGUUGUCCGCCGAAUUGACUGAGGUGAUGAGAGAGAGAAUGUACAAUAUUAUGGAGAUUGGCAAACUUAAAGUUCAACUGGCCAAAGAAAAACAAGCUACGGAAAACUGUGAAGCUAUGUUGUCCCGGAUGGUGGAGGAGCGGAAUGCAGCCAUUGCCCGAGAGGAAGAAGCUAGGAGCACCCAUAGGUAUGAGCUAACUAGGAUGAACGCAAAGUUGGGCAAGGCAAGGUAUCUUAAGGAUUUGUAUGUGAAGAUGGCGGCCACGGUCACCGCACAACGGGAUGUCGCGUGGCAACGAGAGGACCAGCUCCAGCUGGAGAAACUGGAGCUGGCACAUCACUUAGAUACAGUCAAUGACCUGGCUAUGCAAUAUCGUGAUAUUGCAUUUGAUCUGUAUCAUCAACUCCACCCACCUCCCGGCGAAGGAGAAAUGGAUACGGAUGGCGAGUUGGCAGACGAUGGAGAACCUGACCCAGGCCUCAAUGAUGAAGAGGAGUCCGACCCCGAUAACAACAACCCAGGGGGUAAUCAGGAUGAUGGCGAUGACGACCCGGGCUACAGCUCUGGCCACACCGAUUAGUUCGGUGAAACCGAGGGCAACGUCGUUGUAGGGGUCUUAGCUUGCCGUAGUGGGGUUCGGGUUUGUAAUAUAAGUUCUCUUUUGGUUUGAAAAGUUGUACUUGCUUACUCUUGGUGUGUAUCUAACUAAUGUUUAAUAAGUGAAUGAAAGAAUGUAAGAUAUGUUCUGUGUUAUGAAUUUUACGUGGUAACAGGUAUCUACGAUUCUUGUAACAGAUGCCGAUGCGUACUCGCGGCUCCGAUGGAGCUGGGACAUCCCAGGGAGGGGAUGAUAUCCCCAACCCUCCACCUGCUCCACCUUCUUUGGCUGACGCCAUUGCUGUUUUGUUAAGUGCCACUACUGACAAUGCUCGCUUGCUGCGCGAGCUAGCACAGCGUCAACCACACCCUGCUCCAAACUUCAGGGCACCGCGCAACGGGGACGGAGAGGCUCGGUAUGUGGACUUUACCGAGACCAGGCCCCCGGUGUUCACUAAGGCCGAUGAGCCUUUAGAAGCGGAUGACUGGCUCCGAACCAUGGAGCAUAAGUUCAGUUUGAUUCAAUGUUCAGAAACUCAGAAACCCUUAUUUGCAGCUCAGCAGCUUCGGGGAGCUGCAGGUGCCUGGUGGGAGAACUUCUUAGCUAUUCAAGCUCCCGGACACCAAGUCACUUGGACCGAAUUUAAGGACGCGUUCCGCGCCCACUACAUCCCCGAAGGGCUCAUGGCCAUGAAGGCCGAAGAGUUUCUCGCCUUGCAGCAAGGCGAUAAAAGUGUUAUGGAAUACGUGGCAAGGUUUAAUCAUCUCUCUCAAUAUGCCACGGAUCAUGUGAACACUGACAGAAAGAGGAAAGCCUGUUUCAUGCGUGGUCUAAAUACUAAACUUCAGACCAUGAUGGCCACUUGCCAAAAUGCUACUUUCUAUGAGGCGGUAAAUAUUGCUAUCGCCUCAGAGGAAAAGAAUAGGAAACAUAAGGAAGCCAAGAAGAAGGCUGCUUCCUCUUCUUUCUCUGGUCGCGGUCAAAAGCGCCAGAGGAUCAUUUAUCAUCCACAGGGCCACGGACGUUUCCAAACGCCGUCACCUUAUCGUGGUCCUUUCUCCCCUCCAUAGUACAGACCCGGGCAGCAGGUAUAUUCUCGACCUACUGCCAUCGCUUUUGCACCACGCCAGCCGAACGCCCCGGGUGUUCGCCCUACUGCUCCGCCCAGCCACAAUUACCCUUGCUUCAAUUGUGGUAAACCUGGGCAUUUCUCUAAAGAGUGCCCUUUUCCCCGCCAAACCAACCCUACCUUUCCAAGGCCACCUAUGGGCCAACCCCAGCCGGGUCAGUUCAGAACUGGGGUUCAAAAAGGGCAACAGGUACAGAAAGGUAGACCGGUAAAGAAGACAGGGCAAGUCUUCCAUACUGAAGUGGAGACAAUUCCAGAGGGUGAACCAGUGAUGAUGGGUACGUUUCCUGUUGCGAAGCAUCCUGCUUUAAUGCUCUUUGAUUCUGGUGCAUCUCAUACAUUCAUCAAUCGCACCUUUGUGUUAAAGCAUGGCAUACCCAUUGGGGAAACACAAGAUCAUUUUUAUAUACAGUCGCCAGGAGGACGGCUGAUGUCUAAAGAAAUGGUUCACCAAGUACCCAUCGAAUUUGGUGGGCACAAUUUUCCUACUAGCAUGAUUGUUCUUAAGGACCAAGAAAUUGAUGUCAUCUUAGGCAUGAACUGGAUGGCGCAACGAGGGGUUGUGCUAGACACUUUGCACCGAACCAUUAAAAUCCCAUUGCCCAAUGAGAAUUCUUAUUUGCUAAUCCAAUUAGUUACUCCCAAACGGACAAUUGGGCAAGUUCAUGCCGCAAAUGUGUCUGAAGUCAAAGAUAUUCCGGUAGUUCGAGAUUUUCCGGAUGUAUUUCCUGAAGACUUACCAGGUCUGCCUCCGGACCGGGAUGUACAAUUCAGUAUAGAAUUGAAACCAGGAACGGCCCCAAUAUCUCGAAGGGCCUACAGAAUGGCACCGAAAGAGCUGGCCGAAUUAAAAACCCAAUUACAAGAGUUGUUGCAGAAGGGUUUUAUUCAGCCCAGUUCUUCUCCAUGGGGUUGCCCAGCCUUGUUUGUGAAAAAGAAAGAUCAGACAUUAAGGCUGUGUGUCGACUAUCGUCCUCUAAAUGAGGUAACGAUUAAGAACAAGUACCCAUUGCCCCGCAUUGACUUAUUGUUUGACCAGCUAGCUGGGGCCAAAGUGUUCUCAAAAAUUGAUUUGAGAUCAGGGUACCACCAAUUUAAAAUUAGGCCGGAAGAUGUGCCCAAGACCGCUUUCACAACCCGUUACGGGCUGUAUGAAUACUUGGUGAUGUCUUUUGGGUUGACUAACGCACCGGCCCAUUUCAUGUACCUGAUGAACUCUGUCUUCAUGCCAGAACUAGAUAAAUUUGUUGUUGUCUUUAUUGACGACAUUUUGAUUUACUCCAAGACUAAGAGAGAACAUGCUGAACACUUAAGAGUCGUGCUGACCCGUCUCAGGGAGCAUCAACUAUAUGCCAAGUUCAGCAAAUGUGAGUUCUGGUUGGACAAAGUUCAUUUCCUGGGUCAUGUAUUAUCAGCGGAAGGAGUCGCUGUAGACCCAGGCAAGGUAGAAGAUGUGUUGAAUUGGAAACCCCCGACUACGGUACAUGAGGUCCGUAGUUUUCUGGGCAUGGCGGGAUAUUACCGUCGUUUCAUCCCGGACUUUUCCAGAGUCGCCAAACCAAUCACAACCUUGCUCAAAAGUCAAACAAAAUUUGUUUGGUCACCCCAAUGUGAGCAAGCCUUUCAGACUCUGAAAAGGUUGUUGACAACUGCACCUGUCUUAGCCCAGCCAGAUAUUGAAAAACCCUUUGAUGUAUAUUGUGACGCAUCAGGGAUCGGGUUAGGCUGUGUACUGAUGCAGGAGGGUCGUGUAAUUGCAUAUGCUUCCAGACAACUCAAACCCCAUGAAGAGAAUUACCCGACCCAUGAUCUUGAACUAGCCGCCGUGGUACAUGCAUUAAAGAUCUGGCGUCAUUAUUUGUUGGGGAACACAUGUCAUUUAUAUGCAGAUCACAAAAGCUUGAAGUAUAUCUUUACUCAAGCUGAGCUUAAUAUGCGCCAGCGAAGGUGGCUAGAACUAAUUAAAGAUUACGACCUUGAGGUGCAUUAUCACCCUGGCAAGGCAAAUAUAGUAGCGGAUGCCCUCAGUCGUAAGGCUCACUGUAAUUGCUUAACAGUGACGCCUAGGGAUAUAACUUUGUGCCAAGAGCUAGAGAAUUUGGGAAUAGAAAUGAUUUCCCAAGGAAGCCUUUCCAAUUUAAAGAUUGAUUUCAAUCUCGAGGCUCAAAUCAUAAAGGCACAAAAAGAAAACAAAAGCAUGAGACAUCUUAAAGAGAAGAUUUCUAAUAGAGCACCCACAGACUUUAAGGUGGAUGAUGCGGGAGUAAUCUGGUUCAAGAACCGGUUAGUGGUUCCAAAGGUACCUGAGCUACGUCAGCAAAUCCUGGAUGAAGCUCAUACCACGAGGUAUUCCAUUCAUCCCCGGAAGCAAUAAGAUGUAUCAGGACCUGAAGCAAAGGUUUUGGUGGACAAAAAUGAAGAUAGAAAUAGCUCGCUAUGUGGCCCAAUGUGACACCUGUCGAAAGGUCAAAGCCAUUCAUCUCAAAUCCGCUGGGGAGUUGCAACCUUUGCCUAUCCCCGCAUGGAAAUGGGACGACAUAAGUAUGGAUUUCAUAGUAGGAUUGCCCAAGACGGCCAAGGGCUUUGAUUCCAUUUGGGUCAUAGUAGAUCGUCUCACCAAAACAGCACAUUUUCUGCCAGUAAAGCUAUUGUAUCCUGCCUCCACCUAUGCUAAGAUUUAUUUCGACCGUAUCCUAAGUCUGCAUGGGGUGCCAAAGACAAUAGUGUCAGAUAGAGGCACACAAUUUGUCUCCCAAUUCUGGAAAUGUUUACAUGAGUCCCUGGGCACUAAUCUUUUAUACAGCACAGCCUACCACCCUCAAACCGGUGGGCAAACUGAAAGGGUGAAUCAAACCCUAGAAGAUCUAUUAAGAUCUUGUGCCCUGAAUUUUCCAGAUAAGUGGGAUGACUGCUUGCCUCUAGCAGAAUUUUCCUACAAUAAUAGCUAUCAAGAGAGUAUCAAAAUGGCUCCCUUUGAGGCACUGUAUGGUCGCCGAUGUCGAACUCCGUUACACUGGUCGGAACCUGGAGAAAGAUGGUUCUUCGGAGUUGACUUAGUGAAAGAGACUGAGAACAAAGUGAAACAAAUCCAAAAUAACAUGAAAGUUGCUCAGUCCCGACAGAAAAGUUACGCUGAUAAAAGACAUCGACCAUUAAAGUUCGCCAAAGGUGAUCAUGUGUAUUUGAAAGUAUCCCCAAUGAAAGGAGUAAAUCGUUUUGGUGUUAAAGGCAAGUUAGCGCCUCGUUACAUUGGUCCAUUUCCAAUUAUCGACCGAUGUGGGCAGGUCGCUUACCGCCUUAAACUGCCCGAACGAUUAUCCGGGGUACAUAAUGUGUUCCAUGUGUCUCAACUGAAAAAGUGUCUUCGGGUACCAGAUCGAGUUCAAGAUAUUGAAAAUGUAAAGCUUGAACCAGAUCUAACUUAUUCGGAAUACCCUAUCCGAGUACUGGAUCAAAAAGCUAGAGUUACUCGAAGGACAACCACCAAAUGGUAUAAGGUACAAUGGAGCCAGCACUCUGAAGAAGAAGCCACCUGGGAAUCUGAAGAUUACUUGCUAGAGAAUUUUCCUGAAUUCCAUGCUUCCCUUCAGGACAGCAUAUGAUAACCAGAGAGUGUACUCUAGUGAAGGAAAAGAGUCACCAAAGCCAUGUACUUAAUGUACAUAUAUGCUUAUAAUGAAGUAUUUUUUUUCCCCAACUCCUUGCCUUAUGGAAAAGUUGAAGAUGAAAGAGUUUUGACAAAUUUCCUUUUCCAUUACUUACCCUAAGGUUUUAAAUCUCGGGGACGAGAUUUCUUUAAGGGGGAAGGGCUGUAACAUCCCUGAUGUUACGGUUACUAAAAACGGAUCAUGUCAUCAUAAGCAUUGCAAAGCAUAUUUGUUAAAGCACAUUAGUAUGCAUCAACUUAAAAUAAGUUUACCUUGAUUGCUUGAGCUUAGGGAAGUAGAGUGUGCUUCUGUGGUGUGUUGUUGCUUGUGUGGUUGCUAAAACCCUAGGGUGGAAGUUUUCCGAAAAGCUAAGGGGGGGAAAACCCUGAUUUCUGGAUCCUAGAUUUGUCCCCUUUUGCAUAAGUCAAAAACUAAGCAAAAUUUGAGGUUGAGUUCAAAAGCAAAGUUGUAGCUCUUGGCAAGAUGUACAACUUUAGUGUUUUGAGUUUUUGAAGUUUCAAUACAAAAUUCAAAGUAAUUUUGAAAAUACAGAUUUCCAGAAAGUGUCCCCUUUUCCAACUUAAACCCCCAAUUCAAAAUCCAUUUGGAAUUUUGAAAAGUGGUCAACAUGAAAGUUGUAGAGCACAAAAAGUUGAGCAACUUUCAUGUUGGGAGUUUUUCAAGCUGUUAUGCAAAAUCAAAAGUAAUUUUGGAAAUCCUGAUUUGCCCCAAUUCAAAAAUUUGAAUUUCUUUUGAAUUGAGUCUGAUUUUCAAACUGUCUGGCAAAAUUAACUUAUUUCCAGUGAGAAUCAGCUUGGGACACCUAAAUAUGAUUUGUAGUUUACAAAAUUUGGAACAACUUUUGUUUUGACAAAAAUUUGACUCCAGUUCAAAUUUCGGUUGAUUUUCGCAAAGUUCUGAAAAGAGGGGAUAGGGGUCUGCUACAGUGAUCCGAUAGGGAUCACCGGCUCCCUGCCCAGCGCAGCUGCCGCGCGAGCAGCGCCGCGCGCAUGCGUGAGUGCACGCAGCUGCUUGCUGCCAGGGUCGCCAGGCGACGUGGAUGCCUCAGGCUUGCCUUCCCCUCCACUUGAGCACCGACGUGGACGACGCCGUCCGUUUUCACUGUCCACGGCCGGAGAAACUCGACCUCCCUCUCUCUGAAAUCCACCGCACUCCGUUCCUUUCGAGCCAAUUUGAGCACGCUGCCGUUUUCGCCACCUCCUUGCGGACCCAGAGCACCCCCGAGCUCACGCCCUAACCCCCUCAAACGCCAGAACUUCUCCUUCUUCUCUAAGUCCGGCCGGCGUCGCCGCCGUGGAACCCUUCACGUGAGCACGCUGCUCCAGUCGGUACCACGCCUUGAAGGCGGUCGUUCCGAAUUCUUCUUGUUUCCCCGAUACUCAUGCGCUCGCUAUUUCUCACUCGACGCCAACAGAAUCACCGGAGCAACCUCGCCGGAGCCGGAGCAUCCGCCCGACCGCACGGCCACCGUCGCCAAGCUUCUCUACCGCUUCUCCCGCCGUGGUGAUGUGAGCAUCAUGAUCCCCACUUCUUCCCGGACCUCCCGGACCUACUGGUUCACGCUCUACCGAACCUUCGUGCCCGGUCCUCGGCGACCGACGCGGCCGUCCGCCAUUUGCGUGGUUGAGGUGGAAAGAGAGCGAGAGAGCGUCCGUGAGUGGUAACUUUGGAGUCGCAGGGUUGGCACGGUGCUGGUGCGCGCGCGCGCGGGGGCCGCGGAACCCGCUAACGGUCGCCGGAGCGGCGGCAGCACCGCCGUGAGCGAGGGAGGCGAAGCUGACAGGCGGGACCCGCCUGUCAGCGUCCCGCAACGUGAGGAGAGGGGGCAGCACGCGCCGUCCGCGCAGGGGAGCGCCCCCGGGCCGAUUUGGGCCGUGUCCAAGCAGGCCGUCUGCGCAGCGCGGUUGUGGGCCGACCUGCGGGCCAAGAUCCAGGCCGCCCACUGCGCAGAGAUCCUUUUCUUUUUCUUUUUAUGCAAUUUUUGUUUGAUGUUUGAAAUUAUAUGAUAAAUGGUGUGCUAAUCCAAAAAUGAUGAAAGUUUUUGUAUAGGUUCCAUAAAGUGGGUAGAACACAAGAAAAAUAGUAGAUUCUAUUUUUCUGGUAGUUUACAUGUCUAUAAAAAUUGGCUCUUUAAUUAGUGAAUAAAACUUCUAGGAAUUUUAGUAAUUUAUUAGGAGGUCCAAAAAUCACCAAAAAUUGUGGAGAGCCUCUGAGUGGUAUUCCCUGGCUCCACACAAAAUUUGGUGGCAUUUGGAUAAUGUUUGAUUAAAAUAUUAAUAAACCCUUAUUUAGCACUUAAAUAAUAAUUCCAAAAUAAUUAAAUGGUGAUUAUUUAGAUCCUCAUAAUUAGGGUUGAGUGAUUUUGGAUUGUGUGAUAACCUAAGGUCAUUAACCCUAAUGACCUUUGGCAUUUGAUUAUUGUUUAGCCAUAAUGCUUAAUUACUGUCAUUAGUAAUUAAUUAAGAGUUAAUUAAGGUAAUUAGGAUUAAUAAUUAACUAAUUUAAGAUAAGUGUGAAUUAAAUAAAGUUUUAGUUUACAGAUGCAAUCUCUUGGGUAAAAUCAUUAAGUUAUUAAACAACUUUAUUUAGCGAUAAUUCUGUAUUGCAUCAAGAAGGCGAGUUGUACUCGAUUUGGUCCUUCUUGCAUAUUUGUCAUACGCAUAUCAUGAGCAUUCAUCAUUUUGCGUAUAGUGUCCGUGACCGAAGGAGCGCCCGUUGAACCGAACCCCGAGGUCGGUGCUCCGUUCGAGGAAGUCGAAUCCGAGACCUUGGAAGUCUCCGAGGGUCCCUCUCUGCCCUACAACCAAGGCAAGCCCCGGAUGCAUUAACCCCUCCUUGGAUGUUUUAAAUCUUUUGUCACUUAUGAAUUGAAAAUGCUGCAUUAGAUAGUUGAGAAUUGGGUUAACCUACUUGCUGCAUUUACUACCUUGAUAUCUAUAUCCUGUCCUUGACACCUGUUUUAUUUUAAAACUGCGUAGCGAUGCUUAGCCCUGCUACUAGAUAGGUUUUUAAACAAGAAAGUUUGAAGGGUUGUUGUGGGAUACACUUACGAUCAAUGAUGUUUCAAUUUGAGACCGGUCGGUGGACUUGCUCUAAGAAUGGAGUCUUAAAGUAGUGUCUCCGACUGUGUUGAUUAAGGACCGUUCCGUUGAUGGCCUGCUGGGUUGAGAAUUUAUAGUACUAGCCACUUGCCUUCGGUAAGCCCGGUCUUGUGAUCCCUCGACGCGAACAGCUACUCGCGCACUGGGAGUGGAAAGAUGGCGAGAGUAGUGUGUACCCACCUUACGGAUCUGAGAUGACCGGAAAACAUCUAGAUCGGCUGUAGGAUGGUGGAGUACUGUGCUCUCGGGUGCCGCGAACCUGGUCAAAUUUGGGGAGAGCUUGAUUUGGGUUGAUAUAUGCAAGAUUUGGUUCUACAUAUGUCGGGUGGUUAGGAACUCCAGCUGGAUUGCUAAGCGAUUCGAAUCGUCGUUGCUCCCCGAUUGGGAGACUCAAUUCCUUCGACCCUCAUCGUAGUUAAAUAUGCAACUAAGUGAUAAAAUGAGAAAGGGGAAAAUGUCUCAUGAGGUUCGGAUCCCAAUUCCCGGACUCAUAGCGACAUGAAGCUAUGGCCAUCGAUAACUAUUACUUUAUGAUAGGACUAGGAACUCACGGAUUCGUCUGUGAGGAACAACCAGUUAGACUGUCCUCGAACUCCUCGGCCUCUGCGAGGGAGGAAUUCGUGGGUAAAACUUGAAAAUAAGGAUGCACUACUAGUAAGCUUUUUACGCAAAACACUUUGGCUCCUUGCUCAACCACCCCUUGCCUACCCUAAGCCUGCAUCCCUUAGUUCUCCUCUUUUUCUCAUCGGGUAAGUCUUGUUGAGUACUCCCGUACUCAGGGUUUCAAUACCCCUGUUGCAGGUGAAGCACAGGAGCCGACUUGUUUCGGACCCUGUUGUGUGACCGUCGUCGAGGUUGACGACGAAGAAGAGUGAGCGUGACCCAUGGGCAGGGUCUGUAAAUUUAUUCUGUCUAUACUAAAGUUUCAGUUGCUCCGCUGGACCAGGCUUGUAAUAACACUCUACUAUUUGGAAGAACUCCUUUUGUAAAUUAAGUUAUGUAAUACUUCCGCUGUUUCACUCUGAAAUAUUAUUUUGGUCUUGUGUUGUUGAGUUACUGCUUUAUCUUCGCAACGAAUGAUCCUGGUGUUAAGGUGGCCACUUGCUAUCCUGUAAGGGCGAGAAGAAACAGUUCUUGUUGUUUGACCAUUACCAGUGGUCAGGACGAGCUAGCUUGGUACGCCACGGGUAGCAGUGGAAUGAGCGCCCAGCAAUGCUCAUCGGACUUCUAAAGUGGGAGGACUCCCGGCAUCACCGUCAGAGGUCCUGAGGACAAUGGCAGGUGCCGGUGGGCCCAAACACUUAGGGGGUUCUGCCACAAUGAGUGAACGUGCAAGUGAAUCUUGAUUUAACCACAUGACAAGCUCCUAAGGGUCUACACAGCUUGACCACACUCAUAAGCAGUAAAUAGUAAAUGUGUGGCUCAAAGUCUAGCAAGCAUGUAUAUAUGACUGUGGUAGGAAUUUAAACUCUCAUCAUACAGGAACUCAUCAUGCAAUAUUUUAAAGAUUUUUCAAGAUAAAAUUUUCCAGAAUUCUAACAUCUCUAGGAACAGAUAAACAGCAGCUCAACCUUCCUAUAUCAUAUCCGUUAACAACUUAGAUUUCAGAUCAAGUUUUCAUCCCACAAGUUUAGAUCUAGAGCA
rnacentral:lncRNA from 1 species